rnacentral:lncRNA from 1 species
CCUUACCAAGGCAGUAAUGGUAUAUGCCUUUUCUCAAAGUAUGUGGUAUUUUUGGUAUAAUGCAUAGUGAUAUUGCCUUCUCUCUCACCCUACUCUAAUAAGGUUUUGAUAUCUGGAGCUCAUAGGUGGGAGACAGCUAAUACAUACUUACAAGACAUUUAUUGCAUAGUCAAACCAUGGAUCCACAGAAACAAGUCAAUAAGUCAAAUCAAGAUGUGCAUGUGUGGCGAAUGAAUGGUGUAUGGUGAUGAUGGUGAUAAUAAUGGUGAAAGUCUAAUUCUACUUUUGCUCUUUUGAUGGGAUGCAUAUCUUUCUUGCACUUUGAAGCUUUUUGGGGAGAAUGAGAUGCUCUAUAUUUUCUUUUUCUUUCCUCUCAGGUGGGUAUCUUGUACCCCUAAUUCUACUGUCGGACACUAGUCCAUUUUUACCUCUCGUCUCACUUUUUUCUUUUCUUCCGAGGUUCCGGGCACUUGCCCCUUUUUAUUUCCUCCUUUUUUUAGAGCACUCAUCUCCUGAAAUAAUAUAGCAAGUGGUAGUUACCAAGAUAACUCGAGCAUUUAUUACACAGGGAUAACAGGGAUAGGAUAAUGUUUUUGGCUAUUCUCUCCCAGAUUAGGAGUAGAAUAAUUUUGGGUGAAUCUAGAGAUGGAAAUGAGUGGAUGUAUGUGGAUGCGUACUUCCUGAGUAGAAGUAGCAUAUAUGAGCGAACGUGUAAGUGAAUCUUGAUUUUAACCACAUGACAAGCUCCUAAGGGUCUACACAGCUUGACCACACUCAAUGCUCAUAAGUAGUAAAAAGUAAAUAUGUGGCUCAAAGUCUAGCAAGCAUGUAUAUAUGGCUGUGGUAGGAAUUUAAACUCUCAUCAUACAGGAACUCAUCAUGUGUUAUUUUAAAGAUUUUUUUCAAAGAUAAAAUUCUCCAGAAUUCUAGCAUCUCUAGGAACAGAUAAACAGCAGCUCAACCUUCCCAUAUCAUAUCCGUUAACAACUUAGACUUUAGAUCAAGUACUCUUCCCACAAGUUCAGGUUUAGAGCAGGUUUAAAUUAUAACAGUUAUACCUAAACUUGAGAGAGAUUUCAAUUUUGACAACUAGGUACAUGGCAAAGCAACUAUUUAUCAUUUCCAUGUGAGAGCUUAUCAUGAGGGUUGAUAGCAAACUUUAUUUAUUUGUUUAGCAACCUAAGCAAAGAUAUAUAUAUAUAUAUAUAAAAGCACAAAAUCUUUAUUUGGGUUUUCAUGAUUAUGCAUCUUUUAUUAUUUGAGUAAAGUAUAAACGCGAGUAGAAACACUUAGCUGGAUAAAUGGGGGUGCUCUCCCCCAAGCUGGAUUUUGACGUAAAUUCUUCUGAUGUAGCUAGCAGGUGAUGGAGGUGUAUUUGAAAGUCGGCAGCACCCUGAUAGCGAUUAGGAUGUCCUCCGUCUGCUAGUCUUCUUCUUUUUUUUGAUCCUUGAAUCCUGUGGAGCUCACAUAGACAACAAAGCUUUGUGGAACUGGUUAAGUGUUAGCAUAAAUAUCUAGCUUUUAUCAUGUUGAGCCUCCUCAGUAAAUAUUACUUAUUUAGCAGGAUCAUGCACUUAUUAUUUUUAUAUUUUUAUUGUAAGAUGAAAACUUAUUUAUUUUAUUUUUAGCCACCACAGUGAAUGUACUUAUGGGUUUUAUGCCAUGAGCAUACUCACAUGGGGCUUACUAUAUAUUUUUUUAACAUUUUUAUUUUCUUUUCAAGAUAGCAUGAACCUGAUUAACUAAGCAAACUAUUGAAUGGAAAAGGAUAACUACCAAGUUUACCUCUUGGCAAGGCGUUCGGUAUUUUUAAAUCCUCCGAACGGGACUCUCCGUUUUCUCAGUCGUCCUGGGAUUCGCUAGGUGGCGUAGUCGGUGAUUCCGGCGGCGCCUCCUCUUCGUGUAUAACUAUCUUCUCUCUCUACACCUGACUCGGUGCUACGGUCUCCUCAGGACAGUUCUGUUCAGGCUGUAUAUCUUCAGUCCUUAUCACUUCUCCUUCGUAGUCUACCCAUCCGUUCUUGAUGAUUUGCCUCCUCUGGUUGCGGUUGCGUCGUCUUCUUGUCCUGACCUACUUAGAGUCUUCAACUAUAUAGUUAUGGUCAGUAAAAUAGCUGCGUAUCUUCUCAGAGGGGAAGUACAUGUGGACUUCUCUGGUUCCAAUGUAGAUGAUUGCUUUGAUACUGUUGAGGAACAGUCUUCCAAGGAUGGUGGGUGGAUCAUACUCGUCUUCUCCCAUGUCAAUGACCUAAAAAUCAUUUGGAGCUGAAUGUAUGUUGGUUGUAGGGACAUGGUUCCAUGCAGGAGUUGAUAAGUGACUGCGGCCAUUAUGUUGUCGUCAGAUCCGGUGUCGUAGAGUGUCUUCUGAAAAGAGUAUCCAUUGAUUGUGCACUCGAUGCUUGGAACACUAGGGUCGUCCUUCUUGAUCAGGAAAGGUGACUUGAGUCGACGAUCUUGACCUCCUCCGACAAGGAUCCAAUGGUUUAAGUCUUCUGGACAAGACUUCUCACCGUCUUCAUCCUUUAUGUGAAUCAUUUGAUUAGGUGUGGACCUUGCCGUCUGCACCUCUUGAUACGGAGUCACCUAUAUUCUUUGUUUGCCCAGCAGUUCGAAGUGCGUUGUUGGCAAUAUCCUGCUCAGUGUGUUUGUGCUUGUAGAUCCAGGUCCUUCACUUGGUGGAGUCUGGGUGUUGUAAAACUCCUUCUGGUUUUGUUUGAAGUGUACCUAUUCAUAGAGACAAGGCAGAGAUCAAGUGCAUGGACCCUGUUGGUGGAAACACCAACAGAACCAAAAGUGUGUAUUUGUUCUUCUCUAACCUUAAGCAUAGUGAGCAAGACAAAGUUGAUGGAUAAUAAGAUCAUGAGUGUAGUAUUUAAAACAUUUGUCAGAUCAGAUUGAUCGACCUAAUGGAAAGAUAAUCUAUCUAUGUAUAUGUUUUUUUUCUUUAUAUCUUCCCAAAGAUUGAAUGUGCAACAUUUUAGCUUAUAUGAUUGGGAGUGUGAGAUCACGAAGGUAGUACUAAGAACAAAGAUUAAAGGACUAAACAUGUUGAAUUAAUUGAGUUGGUUAAUUUGGAGUUACAGAUCAUACAUAUUUGUCUCUUUAUUUUAUGUGAACGCCAGAACCAAGGAGAAGCUUAUAAAAGUGAUAGUCAAGUACCUUAAAAUGUUACCUUACUUGAAGAGUGACGGUACAGUAUCACCUUGUGGAAGCUUUCCUUUCUUAGCGGUUGUGCAUCGUGUUUGUGGCACCCUCCAUGGAUCAUCUCUUUAUGAUGAAUGAGCUAUGUCUUUCUUGUGCAAAUUGUUAAACUUCAUGUGUCUCCUUUAUCUCCAAUGAGUUUGUAUCUCAGGACUUCCCAAGUUGAUAUUGAAAGUUUUCCUGCAGGGGUUAGUCCCACAAAAUAUACCAAUAUCAACUCAAGCAGUUUUUUUUAGUUGAGUAACCAAACUAGACUCCAUGUCUAAUCAGAUUAAGGAAGGCUAUUUAACCUAAGCACCAUGCUUAAUUUAAAAGCCAAUGGAAGUAUGUCCAGUACUUCCAAACCAACAUUUACUUAAGAUAAACAUAGGUAGCAUGAUGGUAUUUAUAGAGAUAUACUCAAGUGGAGAUGAAGUAGUGUGAUUAGUAUUUAACAAAUUGAGCAUGUCUCAAAGGUAGGGACAACCAACAUAGCAACAUGGCAAAUGAUGUUUUUAUGUAAAGUACUCCCCUAAGCUUGAAUUUUGCAGAAUUCAAGUUUGGAUGAAUUUAAUUCAAUGUUGUAUGAUGAUUGGUUGGACAUACCUUGUGCUUGUCAUUCCUCGGAUCUUCUUGCUCCAAUCCUAGAAAGGUUAGUGACACGAAUACCCAAAGGAAUAUUUCUACAGUCAUCUUUAUAUGCUCAAUACACAAGGCAAUGUUGCAAAUAAUUAAAAGUUCAUAUUACGGUCUGAUAAGUGCUUAUUUUAGGACACUAAGCUUGUCCUUGGGAAACCAUCAAUUUAUGUCGGCGAAGUGGUUUCCCCUCCGACGCUGACCUAUAUCAAGAUCAACUCAACGAGAUCUGCAAUAUUUAUUAUAGACAUAUGCAUCGACAACCGCCUUUUUAAAGUUUUUAUAAAUAGAAAAGAAGAGGGGGUUGGAGAUCUCAAAUGUGAUAAGGAUGGAGAGACUAAUUGAUUGGAGAGAUGUUUUAUAUGAGCAAGGACUGGGUGAGGUAUUUAUGACAUAACUUCCAUGCUCACUAUUGUUUCUCUCAUUCUCAAACUCCAAGGAUGAUUCUUUAUGAAUGCAUAAAAUUCCUCUAGGAUUGUCUCUCAAGUUUGUUUUAUCUAUCCAUUCAAUGGUGAUAGCACAUGGAUUUUUAAUGCCCUCUAGCAAUUGAUGUUGCUCUUCUCGAUCCUCCUUGUGGUCUUGGUGACUCUUAUGAAUGGGAUGUCUAGAGAGAUUCAUAGGAUCAAUGGGAGGUUCAAGAGAAAGAGCAUAGUAGAAAUUAUUAAGCUCAAGGAUGGGUUGGAUAGCCGAAUCAUGGGAUUGAAAUGUUUGGUAAUUGGCUAUUGAAACUUCCUUUCCUCGUCUGGGAGAUGAUUCCUUCUCUAUCUCUAAUAUUUUUCUAUGAAGACUAGUAGAAGAAGGAUGUCCACAAAUGAAGACAUACCUUCCUUUACUAAUAGCUAAAGAAAGAAAGACUCUACCAAAGGUUAUAUGAUUAAGACCAAUGUGAAAAUAUCGAGAAAAAACAUGGUCUUGUAGGGCUAGGUCUAAACCAGAAUUUAUAGAAAGAUUAACAGAUUCCCUAGGUGUAGCUAAAAGUGCAUUAUCUUCUUGAUUAAAAGAUAGGACCUCGGCUAUAGAAAAGGGUUGGUUUUGACCUAUUGCAAUCAACUCCGGACACAGAUCAUAAUUAGGGGCAGGACUUGUUGACUCCCAUGGUCUAUGGCUGGUCUCCGAAGAUGCAAAGAAUUCGAUAAUAGGUAUGGAAUUUGAGUUAUCCAUAAAGAUAAAAAGAUAAAAGAAUAAAAGUAUAAAAGUAUAAUACAAGAUAAUUGCAAGACUUAAAGUUAUCUCAGCAAACCGUCUUUCUCCCCAGCAACGGCGCGAGAAAUGCUUGUUGAUAUUUGGUAACGCAAUAAGGAAAUGAUCCGCAAGCGCACGGAUAUCGGUGAGCAUUUCACCCGGGAGGUUAUCCAGAGUUAUCGUAUUUAUAUUUUUACCACUGGGAGAAAGGGUGCAUCUGACUAACCAAAUCUAUUGCUACUAUCCCUUUAGGCUACAAAGAAUGUUUCUCGAUGUGAGUGAUGUAUAGAGAAGACUGCAACCGUAGUCUCAAUCUAACCUUGGUAAGGAUGAUCUACUGUUCUAUUGGGGAAGCUUACGGAAUCUAGACACCACAAAGGAUGUUCGAUCCGCACCUAUAAACCUACCCGUCCUGCUAACAAGAUAUGGGAUACAAAGGUAACUCGGAAAUGUCACGUUCCUUGCUACUACCACGGUCCAGCUAGUCAGGGGAUAUCUAUGAGUACCCUAGCCUAAACACCACGUUUACGCUAGCAAUGAUUACUCUAAUACUCAACCGGAAGAGGAUUAAAGUAAACUCAUAAACCAAAGAACAAUAAAACAAGAACUUACUAGAAUUAGAAGUCGAAUUACUGAAGAAUCUUAGAAGCAAGCCUCGGGUUAGGAGACUUGAUCCUGUAGGUACAACUCGGAGUAGACACCGAUAGGCCGGCCUUCCUCCAAUCUACACCUCCACUCUAUCUCUCUCAAUCUAGUAGAAACUAGAAGAUCUAUUUCUACUCACAUUGGUUGCUAAGCAUAAAAAGAAAUUCUAUUUAGAGAAGAGGUUUUCCUUCGAGGGCACCCUCAACUCUAUGAUAACUUCUUGUCUUCUCCAGGGGCCAGGGGGUCUCCUUAUAUAGUCCUCCUCCUCUAUGCGUUUUUUGGUCGGUAGGCGAUGUGGUACUACGUUAUCCUUGAUCCUUUAGGUCGGUGGAACGUCGUGUGCGAAAAGAGUCCCGAACGGAGUCCAGGUCAGGGCGGGCACCUAGGGAAGGAGGGCGGGCGCCCUGGGCCUGGCCCCUUUCAGCCUCUGCUUUCUUCCCGUGGCUUCUGGAGUCUUCUAGAUGGCAGAAAAUUGCACGGUGCGUUGAUAUCUCUAUGUAAUCCCGACAUGUGGGCAUUUCUUCCGUAUUUCCUGAUAACCCCCUGCAGAAAUAGACAAACACCAAAACUCGUGGAAUUCUGUCAGAUAAAACCCUAAGUCUAGAUGUUGGUUGCAUUUGGAUCCUUUUCUUUAUUUAUUUGAUGAUUAUAUUUGGUACUUAAGGACCGUCAACACCGUGUUUUGGGCUCGAGGCCGAGGAGUCAGACGAGCCGAGGCCCGCGCCAUGGUGAUUGCGGAUGGUUUGCUUUGUCUUUUGCGAUUUUUUUAUUCGGAUUUGGGUAUCCCUUUUUAUGGUACCCAACACAAAGUGACGAGUUGACCCACUGAUUUGCCCUGGCGACAAUCCCAUCUUCCUGAAUAGAGAAUUGGUAUGCCGCAAAAACUGAUCAGCCGCGUUGUUCAGACCGUGAGGGAAGUUCUGGUCUGGUGAGACUGUCCUGAACUUGACAGCCCGUCCCACGGUGGUCGAUGUUAUUGUCAGGGACGUCUCCAGUCGUUCGUGCAUGGAGACACGAGUUUGUCGACGGGAUUCGAAAAAAUUUGAUGUUGUCGCCUGAUCGGGCUUGUGUGAAAUCGAAUCCACCAAGUUGGAGGCUUCGAGAAGUUUGCGGUCGACGCGAUCGAGGGCUUGAAGAAGAUCCGAGUUGUCGACUCGCUUUGCCCUGUAGCGAGGGAGCGGAGGUCGGGUCCUCGGAGCCAGCGUGAUCGGAGCCGACGCCUCUACUGUCCCAGAUUAGAUCUGGGUUUCUUCCGGAGCCGUGGUCGUAAGGCCGCCACCGUGAGUUGUCCAAGUGAUCUGCCCGACAGUGAACGUGAGACCUCCAGCCACGGCCGCGGAAGCUAUGGUGAUGACCAUCUUGUUCGUCUGGGAAGCUGUACGCAGACCCCCUACCUAGCGCGCCACUGUCGAUGAAAGCUAGUCGGCAGUCUACCUUAGGGUAUACCCACGGUAGUAGUUUAUCGGCAGACAGGUGCGCAAGCUACGAACUCGAUGGUGACGCAAGACACAGACAAGGUUUUUAUCCAGGUUCGGCCGCUGUGUGGGCGUAAUACCUACGUCCUGCGUCUGAUUAUAUUGGAUUGAGUUGAGUUGAGAUGAGAUGUCUAUAGGGGGUCCCUUGCCUCUCUUUAUAUAGUCCAGAUGGCAGGGUUACAGAUCUGGAAACUAAUCCUAGUCGAUUACAAUUGCCAUAGAUAGCAUGAUAUCAAUUCCUAUUCUAACCGACUAGAAUCCUGCUUGGUAUCCACGUCUUGUUUCCUUGCGCGAGACUCCGGGCAGUUGGAUCAAGCCCCGAGUCUUCCUCGUGAUGGACCAAGUCUCCUGGUCCAAGUCUAGCCGUAAGGGUAUUGGGGUUUCUAGCAGUUCCGUCAGGUGUGUCUAAAUUGAUUUCUAAGUAUGUUCCAUGCAAACCAUGCGCCUAUCUUGCAUCAAGAUUAGAACUAUCUCCAAACAGAUCGAACCAAGCUUCCACUUGAGCCUCUUAACCAAGGAGUACCAUCGGGUGCGUCCAAAAUGGUUUCUUAGAUUAUGGUGCAUCAGGUGCAAACCAUGCACCUAUCUUACAUCAAAACUAACACUAUCUCCAAAUGGACCAAAGCAAGAUUCCAUAUGACGCACAUCAUCUAGGAGUUCUAUCGGGUGUGGCCAAAUUGAUUUCCGAGCAUAUGGUAUGUUCCAUGCAAACCAUGCACCUAUCUUGCAUCAAGAUUAGCACUAUAUCAAAACAGACCAAACCGAGCUUUCACUUGAGCCUCUUCACCUAGGAGUACAAUCGGGUGCUUCCACAAUGGUUUCGACCCUAUGGUGCAUUAGGCGCAAACCGUGCACCUAUCUUGCACUGAAACUAACAUUGUCUCUAAAUAGACCAAAGCGAGACUCCAUAUGACACGCAUCAUCUAAGAGUUCUAUUGGGUGCGUAUAAAUUGAUUUCUAGGCAUAUGGUAUGUUACAUGCAAACCGGGCACCUAUCUUACAUCAAGAUUAGCACUAUCUCCGAACAGACCGAACCGAGCUUCCACAUCAGCCUCUUCACCUAGGAGUAUCAUCGGGUGCUUCCACAAUAGUGUCUAAGCUUAUGGUGCAUUAGGUGCAAACCGUGUACCUAUCUUGCACUGAUACUAACAUUGUCUCCAAACGGACCAAAGCAAAAUUCUAUAUGACACACAUUAUCUAGGAGUUCUAUCGGGUGCGUCGAAAUUGAUUUCCGAGCAUAUGGAACGUUCCAUGCAAACCGUGCACCUAUCUUGCAUCAAGAUUAGCACUAUAUCCAAAUCGAGCUUCUACUUGAGCCCCUCUACCUAGGAGUAACAUCACGUGCGUCCAAAAUGGUUUUUCUUAGCCUAUGGUGCAUUAGGCACAAACCGUAUACCUAUCUUGCACCGAAACUAACACUAUCUCCAAAGAGACCGAAGUGAGAUUCUAUAUGACACAUGUCAACUAGGAGUUCUAUUGGGUGCUUCCAAAAGAUUUCUAAGCAUAUAGUACGUUCCAUGUAAUUCGUGCACCUAUCUUGCAUCAAGAUUAGCACUAUCUCAAAACCGAGCUUCCACUUGAGCCCCUUUACCUAGGAGUACCAUCGUGUGUGUCCAAAAUGGUUUCUUAGCCUAUGGUGCAUUAGGCACAGACCAUGUACCUAUCUUGCACCGAAACUAACACUAUCUCCAAAGAGACCGAAGUGAGAUUCUAUAUGACACACGUCAUCUAGGAGUUCUAUUGGGUGCUUCCAAAUAGAUUUCUAAGCAUAUGGUACAUUCCAUGCAAUUCAUGCACCUAUCUUUCAUCAAGAUUAGCACUAUCUCCAAACAGACCAAACUGAGCUUCCACUUGAGCCCCUUUACCAAGGAGUAUCAUCGGGUACAUCCGAAAUGGUUUCUUAACGUAUGAUGCAUUAGGCCCAAACUGUGUACCUAUCUUGCACCAAAUCUAACUCUGUCUCGAAAUAGAUCGAAGCAAGAUUCCAUAUGACACAUGUCAUCUAGGAGUUCUAUUGGGGUGCGUCCAAAUGGAUUUCUCAGCAUAUGGUAUGUUCCAUGCAAACCGUGCACCUAUCUUGCAUCAAGGUUAGCACUAUCUCCAAACAGAUCGAACCAACAUUCUACUUGAGCCUCUUCACCUAGAAUUAUCAUUGGGUGCUUCCAUAAUGGUUUCUGAGCCUAUCGUGCAUUAUGCGCAAACCAUGCACCAAUCUUGCAACGAAACAAACACUGUCUCCAAACAGAUUGAAGCGAGACUCCAUAUGACACACAUGAUCUAGGAGUUCUAUCGGGUGCGUCCAAAUUGAUCUCCGAGAAUAUGGUACGUUCCAUGCAAACCCGUACACCUAUCUUGCAUCAAGAUUAGCACUAUCGGCAAACAGACCGAACCAAGCUUUCACUUGAGCCUCUUGACCUAGGAGUACCAUCAGGAACUUCCACAACGAUUUUUGACCCUAUGGUGCACUAGGCAGAAACCAUGCAACUAUCUUGCACCGAAACUAAUACUAUCUCCACCUGGACCGAAGCGAGAUUCCAUAUGAUACACAUCCAAUAGUAUUUCCAUCGGGUGCAUCUACAGUUCCAUCGGGUUUGUCCAAAUUGAUUUCUGAGCAUAUGGUAUGUUCCAUGCAAACCGUGCACCUAUCUUGCAUCAAGAUUAGAACGAUCUCCAAAUAGACAGAACCAAGAUUCCACUUGAGCCUCUUCACCAAGGAGUACCAUCGUGUGUGUCCAAAAUAGUUUCUUAGCCUAUGGUGCAUUAGGCACAAACCGUGUACCUAUCUUGCACCGAAACUAACACUAUCUCCAAAGAGAGCGAAGUGAGAUUCUAUAUGACACACGUCAUCUAGGAGUUCUAUUGGAUGCUUCCAAAUAUAUUUCGAAGCAUAUGGUACAUUCCACGCAAUUCGUGAACCUAUCUUGCAUCAAGAUUAGCAGUAUCUCCAAACAAAAGCAAACUGAGCUUCCACUUGAGCCCCUUUACCUAGGAGUAUCAUCGGGUGCAUCCAAAAUGGUUUCUUAGCCUAUGAUGAUUUAGGCGCAAACUGUGUACCUAUCUUGCACCAAAACUAUCUCUGUCUCCAUAUAGACCGAAGCAAGAUUCCAUUUGACACAUGUCAUCUAGGAGUUCUAAUGGGGUGCGUCCAAAUGGAUUUCUUAGCAUAUGGUAUGUUCCAUACAAACCAUGCACCUAUCUUGCAUCAGGAUUAGCAAUAUCUACAAACAGAUCAAACGGACCUUCCACUUGAGCCUCUUCACCUAGGAUUAUCAUCGUGUGCUUCCACAAUGGUUUCUGUGCCUAUGGUGCAUUAUGCGCAAACCAUGCACCAAUCUUGCACCUAAACUAACACUGUCUCCAAACAGAUUGAAGCGAGAUUCCAUAUGACACACAUGAUAUAGAAGUUCUAUCGGGUGCGUCCAAAUUGAUUUUUGAGAAUAUGAUACGUUCCAUGCAAACCGUACACCUAUCUUUCAUCAAGAUUAGCACUAUCUCCAAACAGAUCGAACCGAGCUUUUACUUGAGCCUCUUCACCUAGGAGUACCAUCGGGAACUUCCACAACAAUUUCUGAGCCUAUGGUGCACUGGGCACAAACCAUGCAAAUAUCUUGCAGUGAAACUAAUACUAUCUCCAACUGGACCGAAGCGAGAUUCCAUAUGAUACACUUCAUCUAGUAGUUCCAUCGGGUGCAUCUACAGUUCCAUCAGGUUUGUCCAAAUUUAUUUCUGAGCAUAUGGUAUGUUCCAUGCAAACCGUGCACCUAUCUGGCAUCAAGAUUAGAACUAUCUCCAAACAGACAAAACCAAGAUUCCACUUGAGCCUCUUCACCAAGGAGUACCAUCGUGUGCGUCCAAAAUAGUUUCUUAGCCUAUGGUGCAAUAGGCACAAACCGUGUACCUAUCUUGCACCGAAACUAACACUAUCUCCAUAGAGACCGAAGUGAGAUUCUAUAUGACACACGUCAUCUAGGAGUUCUAUUGGGGUGCGUCCAAAUGGAUUUCUUAGCAUAUGGUACGUUCCAUGGAAACCAUGCACCUAUCUUCCAUCAAGAUUAGCAGUAUCUCCAAACAGAUCGAACCGACCUUCCACUUGAGCCUCUUCACCUAGGAGUAUUAUCGGGUGCUUUCAUAAUGGUUUCUGAGCCUAUGGUGCAUUAUGCGCAAACCAUGCACCAAUCUUGCACCUAAACUAACAUUGUAUCCGAACAGAUUGAAGCAAGAUUCCACAUGACACACAUGAUCUAGGAGUUCUAUCAGGUGCGUCCAAAUUGAUUUCCGAGAAUAUGGUACGUUCCAUGCAAACAUACACCUAUCUUGCAUCAAGAUUAGCACUAUCUCCAAACAGACCAAACCGAGCUUUCACUUGAGCCCCUUUACCCAGGAGUAUCAUCUGGUGCAUCCAAAAUGGUUUCUUAGCCUGUGAUGCAUUAGGCGCAAACUGUGUACCUAUCUUACACCAAAACUAACUCUGUCUCCAAACAGACCGAAGCGAGAUUCCAUAUGACACAUGUCAUCUAGGAGUUCUAUUGGGGUGCGUCAAAAUGGAUUUCUUAGCAUAUGGUAUGUUCCAUGCAAACCGUGCACCUAUUUUGCAUCAAGAUUAGCACUAUCUCCAAACAGAUCGAACCGACCUUCCACUAGAGCCUCUUCACCUAGGAGUAUUAUCGGGUGCUUCCAUAAUGGUUUCCGAGCCUAUGGUGCAUUAUGCGCAAACCAUGCACCAAUCUUGCACCUAAACUAACACUAUCUCCAACUGGACCGAAGCGAGAUUCCAUAUGAUACACUUCAUCUAGUAGUUCCAUCGGGUGCAUCUACAGUUCCAUCGGGUUUGUCUAAAUUGAUUUCUGAGCAUAUGGUAUGUUCCAUGCAAACCAUGCACCUAUCUUGCAUCAAGAUUAAAACUAUCUCCAAACAGACAGAACCAAGAUUCCACUUGAGCAUCUUCACCAAGGAGUACCAUCGUGUGCGUCCAAAAUAGUUUCUUAGCCUAUGGUGCAUUUGGCACAAACCGUGUACCUAUCUUGCACCGAAACUAACACUAUCUCCAAAGAGACCGAAGUGAGAUUCUAUAUGACACACAUCAUCUAGGAGUUCUAUUGGGUGCUUCCAAAUAUAUUUCUAAGCAUAUAGUACGUUCCAUGCAAUUCGUGCACCUAUCUUGCUUCAAGAUUAACACUAUCUCCAAACAUAAGCAAACUGAGCUUCCACUUGAGCCCCUUUACCCAGGAGUAUCAUCGGGUGCAUCCAAAAUGGUUUCUUAGCCUAUGUUGCAAUAGGCACAAACUGUGUACCUAUCUUGCACCAAAUCUAACUCUGUCUCCAAACAGACCGAAGCAAGAUCCAUAUGACACAUGUCAUCUAGGAGUUCUAUUGGGGUGCGUCCAAAUGGAUUUCUUAGCAUAUGGUAUGUUCCAUGCAAACUGUGCACCUAUCUUGCAUCAAGAUUAGCACUAUCUCCAAACAGAUCGAACCGACAUUCUACUUGAGCCUCUUCACCUAGAAUUAUCAUUGGGUGCUUCCAUAAUGGUUUCUGAGCCUAUCGUGCAUUAUGCGCAAACCAUGCACCAAUCUUGCACCAAAACUAACACUGUCUCCAAACAGAUUGAAGUGAGACUCCAUAUGACACACAUGAUCUAGGAGUUCUAUCGGGUGCGUCCAAAUUGAUUUCCGAGAAUAUGGUACGUUCCAUGCAAACCCGUACACCUAUCUUAAAUCAAGAUUAGCACUAUCGGCAAACAGACCGAACCGAGCUUUCACUUGAGCCUCUUCACCUAGGAGUACCAUCAGGAACUUGCACAACGAUUUUUGAGCCUAUGGUGCACUAGGCACAAACCAUGCAACUAUCUUGCACCGAAACUAAUACUAUCUCCACCUGGACCGAAGCGAGAUUCCAUAUGAUACACAUCCAAUAGUAUUUCCAUCGGGUGCAUCUACAGUUACAUCGGGUUUGUCCAAAUUGAUUUCUGAGCAUAUGGUAUGUUCCAUGCAAACCGUGCACCUAUCUUGUAUCAAGAUUAGAACUAUCUCCAAACAGACAGAACCAAGAUUCCACUUGAGCCUCUUCACCAAGGAGUACCAUCGUGUGCGUCCAAAAUAGUUUCUUAGCCUAUGGUGCACUAGGCACAAACCGCGUACCUAUCUUGCACCGAAACUAACACUAUCUCCAUAGAGACCGAAGUGAGAUUCUAUAUGACACACGUCAUCUAGGAGUUCUAUUGGGGUGCGUCCAAAUGGAUUUCUUAGCAUAUGGUACGUUCCAUGGAAACCAUGCACCUAUCUUCCAUCAAGAUUAGCAGUAUCUCCAAACAGAUCGAACCGACCUUCCACUUGAGCCUCUUCACCUAGGAGUAUUAUCGGGUGCUUUCAUAAUGGUUUCUGAGCCUAUGGUGCAUUAUGCGCAAACCAUGCACCAAUCUUGCACCUAAACUAACAUUGUAUCCGAACAGAUUGAAGCAAGAUUCCACAUGACACACAUGAUCUAGGAGUUCUAUCAGGUGCGUCCAAAUUGAUUUCCGAGAAUAUGGUACGUUCCAUGCAAACAUACACCUAUCUUGCAUCAAGAUUAGCACUAUCUCCAAACAGACCAAACCGAGCUUUCACUUGAGCCCCUUUACCCAGGAGUAUCAUCUGGUGCAUCCAAAAUGGUUUCUUAGCCUGUGAUGCAUUAGGCGCAAACUGUGUACCUAUCUUACACCAAAACUAACUCUGUCUCCAAACAGACCGAAGCGAGAUUCCAUAUGACACAUGUCAUCUAGGAGUUCUAUUGGGGUGCGUCAAAAUGGAUUUCUUAGCAUAUGGUAUGUUCCAUGCAAACCGUGCACCUAUUUUGCAUCAAGAUUAGCACUAUCUCCAAACAGAUCGAACCGACCUUCCACUAGAGCCUCUUCACCUAGGAGUAUUAUCGGGUGCUUCCAUAAUGGUUUCCGAGCCUAUGGUGCAUUAUGCGCAAACCAUGCACCAAUCUUGCACCUAAACUAACACUAUCUCCAACUGGACCGAAGCGAGAUUCCAUAUGAUACACUUCAUCUAGUAGUUCCAUCGGGUGCAUCUACAGUUCCAUCGGGUUUGUCUAAAUUGAUUUCUGAGCAUAUGGUAUGUUCCAUGCAAACCAUGCACCUAUCUUGCAUCAAGAUUAAAACUAUCUCCAAACAGACAGAACCAAAAUUCCACUUGAGCAUCUUCACCAAGGAGUACCAUCGUGUGCGUCCAAAAUAGUUUCUUAGCCUAUGGUGCAUUUGGCACAAACCGUGUACCUAUCUUGCACCGAAACUAACACUAUCUCCAAAGAGACCGAAGUGAGAUUCUAUAUGACACACAUCAUCUAGGAGUUCUAUUGGGUGCUUCCAAAUAUAUUUCUAAGCAUAUAGUACGUUCCAUGCAAUUCGUGCACCUAUCUUGCUUCAAGAUUAACACUAUCUCCAAACAUAAGCAAACUGAGCUUCCACUUGAGCCCCUUUACCCAGGAGUAUCAUCGGGUGCAUCCAAAAUGGUUUCUUAGCCUAUGUUGCAAUAGGCGCAAACUGUGUACCUAUCUUGCACCAAAUCUAACUCUGUCUCCAAACAGACCGAAGCAAGAUCCAUAUGACACAUGUCAUCUAGGAGUUCUAUUGGGGUGCGUCCAAAUGGAUUUCUUAGCAUAUGGUAUGUUCCAUGCAAACUGUGCACCUAUCUUGCAUCAAGAUUAGCACUAUCUCCAAACAGAUCGAACCGACAUUCUACUUGAGCCUCUUCACCUAGAAUUAUCAUUGGGUGCUUCCAUAAUGGUUUCUGAGCCUAUCGUGCAUUAUGCGCAAACCAUGCACCAAUCUUGCACCAAAACUAACACUGUCUCCAAACAGAUUGAAGCGAGACUCCAUAUGACACACAUGAUCUAGGAGUUCUAUCGGGUGCGUCCAAAUUGAUUUCCGAGAAUAUGGUACGUUCCAUGCAAACCCGUACACCUAUCUUGCAUCAAGAUUAGCACUAUCGGCAAACAGACCGAACCGAGCUUUCACUUGAGCCUCUUCACCUAGGAGUACCAUCAGGAACUUGCACAACGAUUUUUGAGCCUAUGGUGCACUAGGCACAAACCAUGCAACUAUCUUGCACCGAAACUAAUACUAUCUCCACCUGGACCGAAGCGAGAUUCCAUAUGAUACACAUCCAAUAGUAUUUCCAUCGGGUGCAUCUACAGUUACAUCGGGUUUGUCCAAAUUGAUUUCUGAGCAUAUGGUAUGUUCCAUGCAAACCGUGCACCUAUCUUGUAUCAAGAUUAGAACUAUCUCCAAACAGACAGAACCAAGAUUCCACUUGAGCCUCUUCACCAAGGAGUACCAUCGUGUGCGUCCAAAAUAGUUUCUUAGCCUAUGGUGCACUAGGCACAAACCGCGUACCUAUCUUGCACCGAAACUAACACUAUCUCCAAAGAGAUUGAAGUGAGAUUCUAUAUGACACACGUCAUCUAGGAGUUCUAUUGGGUGCUUCGAAAUAUAUUUCUAAACAUAUGGUACGUUUGAUGCAAUUCAUGCACCUAUCUUGCAUCAAGGUUAGCACUAUGUCCAAACAAAGCAAACUGAGCUUCCACUUGAGCCCCUUUACCCAGGAGUAUCAUCGGGUGCAUCCAAAAUGGUUUCUUAGCCUAUGAUGCAUGAGGCAAUAAUUGUGUACCUAUCUUGCACCAAUACUAACUCUGUCUCCAAACAGACCAAAGCGAGAUUCCAUAUGACACAUGUCAUCUAGGAGUUCUAUUGGGAUGCGUCCAAAUGGAUUUCUUAGCAUAUGGUAUGUCCCAUGCAAACCGUGCACCUAUCUUGCAUCAAGAUUAGCACUAUCUCCAAACAGAUCAAACCGACCUUCCACUUGAGCCUCUUCACCUAGGAGUAUUAUCGGGUGCUUCCAUAAUGGUUUUCGAGCCUAUGGUGCAUUAUGCGCAAACCAUGCACCAAUCUUGCACCUAAACUAACACUGUCUCCAAACAGAUUGAUUCAAGAUUCCAUAUGACACACAUGAUCUAGGAGUUCUAUCGGGUGCGUCCAAAUUGAUUUCUAAGAAUAUGGUACGUUCCAUGCAAACUGUAAACAUAUCUUUCAUCAAGAUUAGCACUAUCUCCAAACAGACCGAAUCGAGCUUUCACUUGAGCCUCUUCACCUAGGAGUACCAUCGGGAACUUCCACAACGAUUUCUAAGCCUAUGGUGCACUGGGCACAAACCAUGCAACUAUCUUGCACCGAAACUAAUACUAUCUCCAACUGGACCGAAGCGAGAUUCCAUAUGAUACACUUCAUCUAGUAGUUCCAUCGGGCGCAUAUAGAGUUCCAUCGAGUGUGUCCAAAUUGAUUUCUGAGCAAAUGGUAUGUUCCAUGCAAACCGUGCACCUAUCUUGCAUCAAGAUUAGAACUAUCUCCAAACAUACAGAACCAAGAUUCCACAUGAGCCUCUUCACCAAGGAGUACCAUCGCGUGCAUCCAAAAUAGUUUCUUAGCCUAUGGUGCAUUAGGCACAAACCGAUGCACCGAAACUAACACUAUCUCCAAAUAGACCGAAGUGAGAUUCUAUAUGACACACGUCAUCUAGGAGUUCUAUUGGGUGCUUCCAAAUAUAUUUCUAAACAUAUGGUACGUUUGAUGCAAUUCAUGCACCUAUCUUGCAUCAAGGUUAGCACUAUGUCCAAACAAAGCAAACUGAGCUUCCACUUGAGCCCCUUUACCCAGGAGUAUCAUCGGGUGCAUCCAAAAUGGUUUCUUAGCCUAUGAUGUAUUAUGCGCAAACUGUGUACCUAUCUUGCACCAAAACUAACUCUGUCUACAAAUAGACCAAAGUGAGAUUCUAUAUGACACAUGUCAUCUAGGAGUUCUAUUGGGGUGCGUCUAAAUAGAUUUCUUAGCAUAUGGUAUGUUCCAUGCAAACUGUGCACCUAUAUUGCAUCAAGAUUUGAACUAUCUCCAAACAGAUCGAACCGACCUUUCACUUGAGCCUCUUCACCCUAGGAUAUCAUCGGGUGCUUCCAUAAUGGUUUCUGAGCCUCUGGUGCAUAAUGCGCAAAGCAUGCACCAAUCUUACACCUNNNNNNNNNNNNNNNNNNNNNNNNNNNNNNNNNNNNNNNNNNNNNNNNNNNNNNNNNNNNNNNNNNNNNNNNNNNNNNNNNNNNNNNNNNNNNNNNNNNNNNNNNNNNNNNNNNNNNNNNNNNNNNNNNNNNNNNNNNNNNNNNNNNNNNNNNNNNNNNNNNNNNNNNNNNNNNNNNNUUGAUUUCUGAGCAUAUGGUAUAUUCCAUGCAAACCGUGCACCUAUCGUGCAUCAAGAUUAGAACUAUAUCCAAACAGACAGAACCAAGAUUCCACAUGAGCCUCUUCACCAAGGAGUACCAUCGUGUGCGUCCAAAAUGGUUUCUUAGCCUAUGGUGCAUUAGGCACAAACCGUGUACCUAUCUUGCAUCGAAACUAACACUAUCUCCAAAGAGACCGAAGUGAGAUUCUAUAUGACACACGUCAUCUAGGAGUUCUAUUGGGCGCUUCCAAAUAUAUUUCUAAGCAUUGUUGACAGUCCUUAAAGCUCACAUUUAACCGUCAACUAAUCAUAGAAAAGGAUCCAAAUGCAACCAACACCUAGACUUAGGGUUUUAUCUGAUAGAAUUCCACGAGUUUUGGUGUUUGUCUAUUUCUGUAGGGGGUUAUCAGGAAAUAAGAAAGAAAGGCCCACACGUCGGGUUUACAUAGAGAUAUUAACGUGUCGCGCAAUUUUCUACCAUCUAGACGACUCCAGAAGCCACGGGAACAAACGGGAGGCCGAUCGGGCCUGGGGGCAGGGCGCCCGCCCUCCCCCCUUGGGUGCCUACCCAGCUAUAGUAACCAAUCAGCUUCAACUUCGCGGAUCGUGCUCCACCGACCUAAGGGACCAAGGAAAACCGUGCGAUUAAUGUCGGUUUGAUCCGACGGCCCAGAUUCAUCUGAAAAGACUAUAUAAGCAAGGACCCCUGGCCCCUAGAGAGCAUACCUCUUCUACAGAAUCAAAGUUAGGGUUUCAAUUCUUCAUCCAAGUAGAGAGGAUCCCUCUAGUUCUUCUAGUUCUACCUCUAGUUCAUCUAGAUCUAGUUCUAGUUCAUCAAGUUCUAAUUCUAGUUCCUCUAGUUCUAGUUCUAGUUAGUUCUAGUUGUAAUCUAGAAAUUAGGGAGAGAGAAGAGGAGAGCGGAGGAGGAGCCGGGUCUUUCGGAUCUUCCUCAACAUUAUACUUUUGCAGCAUCUGGUUCGUUCUUCAUCGUUCUCCAGGUUCUUCAAUUCAUAAUUCCUGAGUUCUCUAAUUACUUUUAUUUACAUUCAAGUUAUUUAUUGGAUUCCCGCUUGCAUCAAGUGCUCUAGUCUUUAUAACGCUAGAGUAGUAAUUAAUAGAUUAGACGUGGUGUUUAGUCUUGCAAUUACCUGGAAUUGCACCCAAUCCUACGGAUUGUUGUCGUAGCCUUAGGGUAGUGACAGCCCUAACGGUCGACGUAUUCCACCUCGUUCGGAUCGGUGUUUGUAGGACCGUAGUCAGACCUUCCUAGCCCCCUUCUCAUCUCUUUCUGUGGUUAGUGCUCUGAUGUCCCGAUAUAGAUAAUCUUGAAGUAAUUCUUGAUUCUUAGAUCAACUAGAGAACUCUCAGGAAACUUCCUCUCUUCCCACCAAAAAUAAUUAUAUAGUUAUCCUUGGGCGAUCUUGGAUCUUAAUUAGUACACUCACGUUCUCUGUGGAAAAUCGAUACUCUGGAAUACUCCCGGGUGAAGGCUACAUCGGUAUCCGUCCGCUUGCGGAUUUUUCUGUUUGCGUUUAAAAUACCCAACAAGCUUUCUGGCGCCGUUGCAGGGGAACGGUAGCUGUGUUAGUUUCGAACCAAGUCGUCCGUGUAUCCUUUUUCUUUUCCUUUUUCAUCACACUCACCUUAUCAUUUUCAAUAUACCACAUGGAUUUCACUCUAAGCAUUAAUGAGCAUGGAAUUUAUUACAUAGCCACUUCAUUUGCUCCAUGCUCAUAUGCAACAUCUUAUCAAUCCAUUGGUCUCUCCAACAUCACCAUGUUCGAGAUCACAUGGUUUAGGGCGGUUGUCGAUGCAUAUGUCUAUAAUAAUUUUUUCAGAUCUCGUUGAGUUGAUCUUGAUAUAGGUCAGCGUUGGAGGGGAAACCACUUCACUGACAUAAAUUAAUGGUUUCCCAAGGACAAGCUUAGUGUCCUAUAACAAGCAGUGAUCAGAUUGUAACAUGAGCUUUUAAUUAUUUACAACAUUACCUUAUGUAUUGAGCAUAUAAGAUAAUUGUAAAAAUAUUCCUUUGGGUAUUCUUGUCACUAACCUUUUCAGGAUUGGAGCAAGAAGAUCGGAUGAAUGACAAGCACAAGGUAUGUCCAACCAAUCAUCAUACAACAUUGAAUUAAAUUCAUCCAAACUUGAAUUUUGCAAAAUUCAAGCUUGGGGGAGUACUUUACAUAAAAACAUCCUUUGCCAUGUUGCUAUGUUGGUUGUCCCUACCAUUGAGACAUGCUCAAUUUGUUAAAUGCUAAUCACACAACUUCAUCUCCACUUGAGUAGAUCUCUAUAAAUGCUUUCAUGCUACCUUUAUUUGCUUUAGUAUAUGUCUAGGUUUGGAGUAGUUUCAUUUAUGUCUUAAUUAAGCAUGGUGCUUAGUUUAGGGUUGAUGAUCUUACUUCCAAGGGAGUUUAAAUUAAGCAUGAUGCUUAGGUUAAAAUUCCCUCCUAAAUCAAAUUAGACAUGGUGUCUAGGUUGAUCUUUGAGCCGAUAGUAUGCUAUAGUAGAUAUUGGAUAUUUUGUUGGACUAACCCCUGUAGGAAAACUUUCAAUAUCAACCUGGGAAGUCCUGAGACAAACUCACAUUGGAGACAAAUAGGGAGGCACAUGAAGUUUAACAAUUUACACAAGGAAGGCAUAGCUCAUAAGAGAUGAUCCAUGGAGGGUGCUACAAACACGAUGCACAACCGCUAAGAAAGGAAAGCUUUCACAAGGUGAUACUAUACCAUCACUCUUCAAGUAAGGUAACAUCUUAAGGUACUUGACUAUCACUUCUAUAAGCUUUUCCUUGGUUCUGGCGUUUAAAUGAAUAAAAGACAUAAACAUGUAUGAUUUACAACUCUUGAUUAACCAACCCAAUCGAUUCAACAUGUUUAGUCCUUCCACCUUUGUGAUCCAACACUCCUAAUCAUAUAAGUUAAAAUAUUGCACACUCAAUCUUUGGAAGAUAUAUAUUAUAAAAAAACAACAUAAGAAUAGAUAGAAUAUCUUUCCAUUAGGUUGAGUGAUCUGAUCUGACAAAUGUUUUAAAUGCUACAGUCAUGAUCUUAUUAUCCAUCAACUUUGUCUUGCUCACUAUGCUAAAGGUUAGAGAAGAACAAAUACAUUUUAGGUUCUGUUGGUGUUUUCCACCAACAGGGCCCAUGCACUUGAUCUCUGCCUUUUCUCUAUGAGCAGGUACACUUCGAGCAAAAUAUAAAUGACUUUUACAACUCCCAGACUCCACCAAGUGAAGAACCUAGAUCUACAAGCACAAACACACUGGAGAGACUGGACACUCAGGCAAUCAUUGCCCUGAGAUGCUUGAGGACGUAAACUACAUCAACAACUACUACUACUACUACAACCGUCCUCAACAAAACCAAGGUUGGAAUCAAUGGAGGCCUAACUACUCAGAGAGGCAAUCCAGGACGCCCCGUCAUCCCGAUCUCUAUCGGUAUGGUGGACUUCCCAGAAGCAGUCUGCGACUUUGCCUCCAGCGUCAACAUUAUACCCACGGGAGGCCAUUCCUGAACACCUCGGGAGCGGUCAUCCACGCUAGUGCUGCCAAGAUCAGUUUCUACAUCAAAGGGAGGAAGGAGACCUUUUCCUUCAAGAACAAGACUACACAAAUCUCAAAGCAAUCCCGACAUGAACCAAGGAAGAGGAUCAACAGGGGGAACACGAACAAGCAAAUGUAGACUGAGUCAGCUAAGAUGGUCACUGCAGCUCAAGGAGGUCAAGACCGUCAACUCAAGUCGCCUUUCUUGGUCAAGAAGGACGACCCUAGUGUUCCAAGCAUCGAGUGCACAAUCAACGGAUAUUCUUUUCAUAAGCUCUACGACACCGGAUCUGACGUCAACAUAAUGGCCGCAGUCACUUAUCAGCUCCUGCAUGGAACCAUUCCCCUACAACCAACAUACAUUCACCUCCAGAUGAUUUUAAGGUUAUUGACAUGGGAGAAGACGAGUACAAUCCACCCAUCACCAUUGGGAGACCGUUCCUCAGCACCGUUAAAGCAAUCAUCUACAUUGGAACCAGAGAGUCCACAUGCAUUUCCCCUCUGAGAAGGUACGCUGCUAUUUUACUGACCCUAACCAUAUAGUUGAAGACUCUAAGCAGGUCAGGACAAGAAGAAGACGACGCAGCCUCAACCAGAGGAGGCAAAUUAUCAAGGACGGAUGGGCGGACUAUGAAGGAGAAGUGGUAAGGUCUGAAGACGUACAACUUGAACAGAACUGUCCUGAGGAGACCGUAGCACCGAGCCAGGUGUGGAGAGAGAAGAUAGUUAUACAUGACGAGAAGGCGCCGCCGGAACCACCGACUACGCCAUUCAGCGAAUCCCAUGACGACUGAGAAAACGAAAAGUCCCGUUUGGAGGACUUAAAAACACGGAACGCCUUGCCAAGAGGUAAACUUGGUAGUUAUCCUUUUUCCUUUCAAUUAUUUUAAAAUAGUUUGCUUAGUUAAUUAGGUUCAUAUCAUCUCGAAAAGAAAAUAAAAAUAUUAAAAAUAGUAAGCCCCAUGUGAGUAUGCUCAUGGCAUAAAACCCAUAAGUACAUUCACUGUGGUGGCGUAAAAAUAAAAUAAAUAUAUUCCUGUCCUAUAAAAAUGAAAAUAUAAAAAUAAAUUUAUGAUCCUACCAAAGAGUGUAACAUUUAUUGAGGAGGCUCAACAUGAUAAAGGUUAGAUAUUUAUGCUAACACUGAACUAGUUCCACAAAGCUUUGUUGUCUAUUUGAGCUCCACAGAAUUCAAGGAUCAAAGAAGACUAGCAGACGGAGGACAUCCUAAUCACUGUCAGGGUGCUGCCGACAUUCAAGUACACCUCCGCCACCUGCUACAUCAAAAGGAAUUACGUCAAAAUCCAGCUUGGGGGAGAGCAACCCCAUUUAUCCAGCUAAGUAUUCUACUCACGUUUAUACUUUACUCUAAUAUGCUUAUAUAUAUAUAUCUUUGCUUAGUCUGAUAAAUAAAUAAAUAAAUAAAGUUUGCUAUAAACCCUCAUGAUAAGCUCUCACAUAGAAAUGAUGAAUAGUUGCUCUGCCAUGACUAGUUCUCAAAAUUGAAAUCUCUCUCAAGUUUAGGCAUGACUGUUAUUAAUUAAGAUUUGCUCUAAACCUGAACUUGUGGGGAGAGUACUUGAUCUAAAGUCUAAGUCAUUAACGGAUACGAUAUGGGAAGGUUGAGCUGUUGUUUAUCUGUUCCUAGAGAUGCUAGAAUUCUGGAGAAUUUUAUCUUUGAAAAUCUUUAAAAUAACACAUGAUGAGUUCCUGUAUGAUGAGAGUUUAAAUUCGUACCACAGCCAUAUAUACAUGCUUGUUAGACUUUGAGCCACACAUUUACUUUUUACUACUUAUGAGCAUUGAGUGUGGUCAAGCUGUGUAGACCCUUAGGAGCUUGUCAUGUGGUUAAAUCAAGAUUCACUUGCACGUUCACUCAUACAUACUGCUUCUACUCUGGAAGUACGCAUCCACAUAUAUCCUUCCAUUUCCAUCUCCAGAACCACCCAAAAAUAUUCUACUCCUAAUCCGGGAGAGAAUAGCCAAAAACAAUCUCCUAUUUCUAUUUUUCCCUGUGAAAUAAAUGCUCAAGUUAUCUUGGUUACUACCACUUGCUACAUUAUUUCAGGAGAUGAGUGCUCUAAAAAAAAGAAGAAAGAAAAAAAAAGAGAAAGAAUACGAGGAAAUAAAAAGGGGCAAGUGCCCGGAACCUCGAAAGAAAAGAAAAAGUGAGACGAGAGGUAAAAAUGGACAAGUGUCCGACAGUAGAUUUAGGGGUACAAGAUACCCACCUAAGAGAAAUGAAAAAUAAAAUAUAGAGCAUCUCAUUCUCCUCAAAAAGUUUCAAAAGAGCAAGAAAGGUAUGUAUCCCCUGAAAAGAGCACAAGUAGAAUUAGACUUUCACCAUUGUUAUCACCAUCAUCACCAUACACCUUUCAUUCGCCACACAUGCACAUCUUGAUUUGACUUAUUGACUUGUUCUUUUGGAUCCAUGGUUUCACUAUGCAAUAAAUGUCUUGUAAGUAUGUAUUAGCUGUCUCCCACCUAUGAGCUCCAGAUAUCAAAACCUUAUUAGAGUAGGGUGAGAGAGAAGGCAAUGUCACUAUGCCUUAUACCACAAAUACCACAUACUUUGAGAGAAGGCAUAUACCAUUACUGCCUCGGUAAGGAUCCAGAAAUACCACAAAAGAGAGACUAGAGAGAGUCAUACAAGGAAUCUCUGAGUUUUAUUUGAAAAUCUGCAAAAACUCCAGAGCUACAGUUAAUCAAAGAACAAGAGACAUGGCUCAAGACACAAGUGACGGUUGCAAGCCCCAUGGUGGAAGGUACAAUGGGUUAGUUUAAAUCUUAACAGUUUACCCUAACCCAGAGAUGAGAUCUUGUUUGAACGCAUGUAUAUCUUUAAGGCAUGAAACCACUGUAGAAACUCUUGAGUCCAUCUUUGCUCAGGGACGAGCAAAGGUUAAGCUUGGGGGAGCUUGUUGACGGUCCUUAAAGCUCACAUUUAACCGUGAACUAAUCAUAGAAAAGGAUCCAAAUGCAAACAACACCUAGACUUAGGGUUUUAUCUGACAGAAUUCCACGAGUUUUGGUGUUUGUCUAUUUCUGUAGGGGGUUAUCAGGAAAUAAGAAAGAAAGGCCCACACGUCGGGUUUACAUAGAGAUAUUAACGUGCCGCGCAAUUUUCUACCAUCUAGAUGACUCUAGAAGCCACGGGAACGAACGGGAGGCCGAUCGGGCCCGGGGGCAGGGCGCCCGCCCUCCCCCCUUGGGUGCCUACCUAGCUACAGUAACCAAUCAGCUUCAACUUCGUGGAUUGUGCUCCACCGACCUAAGGGACGAAGGAAAACCGUGCGAUUAAUGUCGGUUGGAUCCGACGGCCCAGAUUCAUCUGAAAAGACUAUAUAAGCAAGGCCCCCUGGCCCCUGGAGAGCAUACCUCUUCUACAGAAUCAAAGUUAGGGUUUCAAUUCUUCAUCCAAGUAGAGAGGAUCCCUCUAGUUCUUCUAGUUCUACCUCUAGUUCAUCUAGAUCUAGUUCUAGUUCAUCUAGUUCUAAUUCUAGUUCCUCUAGUUCUAGUUCUAGUUAGUUCUAGUUGUAAUCUAGAAAAUAGGGAGAGAGAAGAGGAGAGCGGAGGAGGAGCCGGGUCUGUCGGAUCUUCCUCAACAUUAUACUUUUGCAGCAUCUGGUUCGUUCUUCAUCGUUCUCCAGGUUCUUCAAUUCAUAAUUCCUGAGUUCUCUAAUUACUUUUAUUUACAUUCAAGUUAUUUAUUGGAUUCCCGCUUGCAUCAAGUGCUCUAGUCUUUAUAACGCUAGAGUAGUAAUUAAUAGAUUAGACGUGGUUUUUAGUCUUGCAAUUACCUGGAAUUGCACCCAAUCUUGCGGAUUGUUGUGGUAGCCUUAGGGUAGUGACAGCCCUAACGGUCGACGUAUUCCACCUCGUUCGGAUUGGUGUUUGUAGGACCGUAGUCAGACCUUCCUAGCCCCCUUCUCAUCUCUUUCUGUGGUUAGUGCUCUGAUGUCCCGAUAUAGAUAAUCUCGAAGUAAUUCUUGAUUCUUAGAUCAACUAGAGAACUCUCAGGAAACUUCCUCUCUUCCCACCAAAAAUAAUUAUAUAGUUAUCCUUGGGCGAUCUUGGAUCUUAAUUAGUACACUCACGUUCUCUGUGGAAAAUCGAUACUCUGGAAUACUCCCGGGUGAAGGCUACAUCGGUAUCCGUGCGCUUGCGAAUUUUUCUGUUUGCGUUUAAAAUACCCAACAAGCAUAUGGUAUGUUCGAUGCAAUUUGUGCACCUAUCUUGCAUCAAGUUUAGCACUAUCUCAAAACAAUGCAAACUGAGCUUCCAAUUGAGCCCCUUUACCCAGGUGUAUCAUCGGGUGCAUCCAAAACUGUGUACCUAUCUUGCACCAAAACUAACUCUGUCUCCAAACAGACCAAAGCGAGAUUAUAUGACACAUGUCAUCUAGGAGUUCUAUUGGGGUGCGUCCAAAUGGAUUCCUUAGCAUAUGGUAUGUUCCAUGCAAACCGUGCACCUAUCUUGCAUCAAGAUUAGCACCAUCUCCAAACAGAUCGAACCGACCUUCCACUUGAGCCUCUUCACCUAGGAUUAUCAUCGGGUGCUUCCAUAAUGGUUUCUGAGCCUAUGGUGCAUUAUGCGCAAACCAUGCACCAAUCUUGCACCUAAACUAACACUGUCUCCAAACAGAUUGAAGCGAGAUUCCAUAUGACACACAUGAUCUAGGAGUUCUAUCGGGUGCGUCCUAAUUGAUUUCUGAGAAUAUGGUACGUUCCAUGCAAACCGUACACCUAUCUUUCAUAAAGAUUAGCACUAUCUCCAAACAGACCGAACCAAACUUUCACUUGAGCCUCUUCACCUAGGAGUACCAUCGGGAACUUCCACAAUAAUUUCUGAGCCUAUGGUGCACUGGGCACAAACCAUGCAACUAUCUUGCAUUGAAACUAAUACUAUCUCCAACUGGACCGAAGCGAGAUUCCAUAUGAUACACUUCAUCUAGUAGUUGCAUCGGGUGCAUCUACAGUUCCAUCGGGUGUGUCCAAAUUGAUUUCUGAGCAUAUGGUAUGUUCCAUGCAAAAUGUGCACCUAUCUUGCAUCAAGAUUAGAACUAUCUCCAAACAGAUAGAACCAAGAUUCCACAUGAGCCUCUUCACCAAGGAGUACCAUCGCAUGCGUCCAAAAUAGUUUCUUAGCCUAUGCUGCAUUAGGCACAAACCGUGUACCUAUCUUGCACCGAAACUAACAGUAUCUCCAAAGAGACCGAAGUGAGAUUCUAUAAGACACACAUCAUCUAGGAGUUCUAUUGGGUGCUUCCAAAUAUAUUUCAAAGCGUAUGGUACGUUCCAUGCAAUUCGUGCACCUAUCUUGCAUCAAGAUUAGCACUAUCUCCAAACAAAAGCAAACUGAGCUUCCACUUGAGCCCCUUUACCUAGGAGUAUCAUCGGGUGCAUCCAAAAUGGUUUCUUAGCCUAUGAUGCAUUAGGCGCAAACUGUGUACCUAUCUUGCACCAAAACUAACUUUGUCUCCAAACGGACCGAAGCGAGAUUCCAUAUGACAGAUGUCAUUUGGGAGUUCUAUUGGGGUGCGUCCAAAUGGAUUUCUUAGCAUAUGGUAUGUUCCAUGCAAACCGUGCACCUAUCUUGCAUCAAUAUUAGCACUAUCUCCAAACAGAUCGAACCGACCUUCCACUUGAGCCUCUUCACCUAGGAUUAUCAUCGGGUGCUUCCAUAAUGGUUUCUGAGCCUAUGGUGCAUUAUGCGCAAACCAUGCACCAAUCUUGCACCUAAAUUAACACUGUCUCCAAACAGAUUGAAGCGAGAUUCCAUAUGACACAAAUGAUCUCUUCGAAAUAUAUUUGGAAGCACCAAAUAGAACUCCUAGAUGACGUGUGUCAUAUAGAAUCUCACUUUGGUUUCUUUGGAGAUAGUGUCAGUUUCGGUGCAAGAUAGGUACACGGUUUGUGCCUAAUGCACCAUAGGCUAAGAAACUAUUUUGGACGCAUGCGAUGGUACUCCUUGGUGAAGAGGCUCAAGUGGAAUCUUGGUUCUGUCUGUUUGGAGAUAGUUCUAAUCUUGAUGCAAGAUAGGUGCACUGUUUGCAUGGAACAUACCAUAUGCUCAGAAAUCAAUUUGGACAAACUUGAUGGAACUGUAGAUGCUCGCGAUGGAACUACUAGAUGAAGUGUAUCAUAUGGAAUCUCGCUUCGGACCAGUUGGAGAUAGUAUUAGUUUUGGUGCAAGAUAGUUGCAUGGUUUGUGCCCAGUGCACCAUAGGCUCAGAAAUCGUUGUGGAAGUUCCUGAUGGUACUCCUAGGUGAAGAGGCUCAAGUGAAAGCUUGGUUCGGUCUGUUUGGAGAUAGUGCUAAUCUUGAUGAAAGAUAGGUGUACGGUUUGCAUGGAACGUACCAUAUUCUUAGAAACCAAUUUGGACGCACCCCAUAGAACUCCUAGAUCUUGUGUGUCAUAUGGAAUCUCGCUUCAAUCUGUUUGGAGACAGUGUUAGCUUAGGUGCAAGAUUGGUGCAUGGUUUGCGCAUAUUGCACUAUAGGCUCAGAAACCAAUAUGGAAGCACCCAAUGAUAAUCCUAGGUGAACAGGCUCAAGUGGAAGGUCGGUUCGAUCUGUUUGGAGAUAGUGCUAAUCUUGAUGUAAGAUAGGUGCACGGUUUGCAUGGAACAUACCAUAUGCUAAGAAAAUCCAUUUGGACGCACCCUAAUAGAACUCCUAGAUGACAUGUGUCAUAUAGAAUCUCGUUUUGGUCUGUUUGGAGACAGUAAGUUUUGGUGCAAGAUAGGUACAUAGUUUGCGCCUAAUGCAUCAUAGGCUAAGAAACCAUUUUGGAUGCACCUGAUGAUACUCCUGGGUAAAGGGGCUCAAGUGGAAGCUCAGUUUGCUUUGUUUGGAGAUAGUGCUAAUCUUGAUGCAAGAUAGGUGCCCAAAUUGCAUCGAACAUACCAUAUGCUUAGAAAUAUAUUUGGAAGCACCAAAUAGAACUCCUAGAUGACGUGUGUCAUAUAGAAUCUCACUUCGGUCUCUUUGGAGGUAGUGUUAGUUUUGGUGCAAGAUAGGUACACGGUUUGUGCCUAAUGCACCAUAGGCUAAGAAACUAUUUUGGACGCACGCGAUGGUACUCCUUGGUGAAGAUGCUCAUGUGUAAUCUUGGAUCUGUCUGUUUGGAGAUAGUUCUAAUCUUGAUGCAAGAUAGGUGCACGUUUUGCAUGGAACAUACCUUAUGCUCACAAAUCAAUUUGGACACACCCGAUGGAACUGUAGAUGCACCCGAUGGAACUACUAGAUGAAGUGUGUCAUAUGGAAUCUCGCUUCAGUCCAGUUGGAGAUAGUAUUAGUUUCGGUGCAAGAUAGUUGCAUGGUUUGUGCCCAGUGCACCAUAGGCUCAGAAAUCAUUGUAGAAGUUCCCGAUGGUACUCCUAGGUGAAGAGUCUCAAGUGAGAGCUCGGUUCAGUCUGUUUGGAGAUAGUGCUAAUCUUGAUGAAAGAUAGGUGUACGGUUUGCAUGGAACGUACCAUAUUCUUAGAAAUCAAUUUGGACGCACACGAUAGAACUCCUAGAUCAUGUGUGUCAUAUGGAAUCUUGCUUCAAUUUGUUUGGGGACAGUGUUAGUUUAGGUGCAAGAUUGGUGCAUGGUUUGCGCAUAAUGCACCAUACGCUCAGAAACCAUUAUGGAAGCACCCGAUGAUAACCCUAGGUGAAGAGGCACAAGUGGAAGGUCGGUUCGAUCUGUUUGGAGAUAGUGCUAAUCUUGAUGCAAGAUAGGUGCACGGUUUGCAUGGAACAUACCAUAUGCUAAGAAAUCUAUUUGGACGCACCCCAACAGAACUCCUAGAUGACAUGUGUCAUAUGGAAUCUCGCUUCGGUGUGUUUGGAGACAGAGUUAGUUUUGGUGCAAGAUCGGUACACAGUUUGCGCCUAAUGCAUCAUAGGCUAAGAUACCAUUUUGGAUGCACCUGAUGAUACUCCUGGGUAAAGGGGCUCAAGUGGAAGCUCAGUUUGCUUUGUUUGGAGAUAGUGCUAAUCUUGAUGCAAGAUAGGUGCACGAAUUGCAUGGAAUGUACCAUAUGCUUCGAAAUAUAUUUGGAAGCACCAAAUAGAACUCCUAGAUGACGUGUGUCAUAUAGAAUCUCACUUCGGUUUCUUUGGAGAUAGUGUUAGUUUCGGUGCAAGAUAGGUACACGGUUUGUGCCUAAUGCACCAUAGGCUAACAAACUAUUUUGGACGCAUGCGAUGGUACUCCUUGGUGAAGAGGCUCAAGUGGAAUCUUGGUUCUGUCUGUUUGGAGAUAGUUCUAAUCUUGAUGCAAGAUAGGUGCACUGUUUGCAUGGAACAUACCAUAUGCUCAGAAAUCAAUUUGGACAAACUCGAUGGAACUGUAGAUGCUCCCGAUGGAACUACUAGAUGAAGUGUAUCAUAUGGAAUCUCGCUUCGGACCAGUUGGAGACAGUAUUAGUUGAGGUGCAAGAUAGGUGCAUCGUUUGUGCCCAGUGCAUCAUAGGCUCAGAAAACGUUGUGGAAGUUCCCGAUGGUACUCCUAGGUGUAGAGGCUCAAGUGAAAGCUCGGUUCGGUCUGUUUGGAGUAGUGCUAAUCUUGAUGCAAGAUAGGUGUACGAUUUGCAUGGAACAUACCAUAUUCUCGGAAAUCAAUUUGGACACACCCGAUAGAACUCCUAGAUCAUGUGUGUCAUAUGGAAUCUUGCUUCAAUCUGUUUGGAGACAGUGUUAGUUUAGGUGCAAGAUUGGUGCAUGGUUUGCGCAUAAUGCACCAUAGGCUCAAAAACCAUUAUGGAAGCACCCGAUGAUAAUCCUAGGUGAAGAGGCUCAAGUGGAAGGUCGGUUCGAUCUGUUUAGAGAUAGUGCUAAUCUUGAUGCAAGAUAGGUGCACGGUUUGCAUGGAACAUACCAUACGCUAAGAAAUCCAUUUGGACGCACCCCAAUAGAACUCCUAGAUGACAUGUGUCAUAUGGAAUCUCGCAUUGGUCUGUUUGGAGACAGAGUUAGUUUUGGUGCAAGAUAGGUACAUUCUUUGCGCCUAAUGCAUCAUAGGCUAAGAAACCAUUUUGGAUGCACCCGAUGAUACUCCUGGGUAAAGGGGCUCAAGUAGAAGCUCAGUUUGCCUUGUUUGGAGAUAGUGCUAAUCUUGAUGCAAGAUAGGUGCACGAAUUGCAUCGAACGUACCAUAUGCUUAGAAAUAUAUUUGGAAGCACCAAAUAGAACUCCUAGAUGAUGUGUGUCAUAUAGAAUCUCACUUCGGUCUCUUUGGAGAUAGUGUCAGUUUUGAUGCAAGAUAGGUACACGGUUUGUGCCAAAUGCACCAUAGGCUAAGAAACUAUUUUGGACGCACGCGAUGGUACUCCUUGGUGAAGAUGCUCAUGUGUAAUCUUGGUUCUGUCUGUUUUGAGAUAGUUCUAAUCUUGAUGCAAGAUAGGUGCACGUUUUGCAUGGAACAUACCAUAUGCUCACAAUUCAAUUUGGACACACCCGAUGGAACUGUAGAUGCACCCGAUGGAACUACUAGAUGAAGUGUAUCAUAUGGAAUCUCGCUUCGGUCCAGUUGGAGAUAGUAUUAGUUUCGGUGCAAGAUAGUUGCAUGGUUUGUGCCCAGUGCACCAUAGGCUCAGAAAUCAUUGUAGAAGUUCCCGAUGGUACUCCUAGGUGAAGAGUCUCAAGUGAGAGCUCGGUUCAGUCUGUUUGGAGAUAGUGCUAAUCUUGAUGAAAGAUAGGUGUACGGUUUGCAUGGAACGUACCAUAUUCUUAGAAAUCAAUUUGGACGCACCCCAUAGAACUCCUAGAUCUUGUGUGUCAUAUGGAAUCUCGCUUCAAUGUGUUUGGAGACAGUGUUAGCUUAGGUGCAAGAUUGGUGCAUGGUUUGCGCAUAUUGCACUAUAGGCUCAGAAACCAAUAUGGAAGCACCCGAUGAUAAUCCUAGGUGAACAGGCUCAAGUGGAAGGUCGGUUCGAUCUGUUUGGAGAUAGUGCUAAUCUUGAUGUAAGAUAGGUGCACGGUUUGCAUGGAACAUACCAUAUGCUAAGAAAAUCCAUUUGGACGCACCCUAAUAGAACUCCUAGAUGACAUGUGUCAUAUAGAAUCUCGUUUUGGUCUGUUUGGAGACAGUAAGUUUUGGUGCAAGAUAGGUACAUAGUUUGCGCCUAAUGCAUCAUAGGCUAAGAAACCAUUUUGGAUGCACCUGAUGAUACUCCUGGGUAAAGGGGCUCAAGUGGAAGCUCAGUUUGCUUUGUUUGGAGAUAGUGCUAAUCUUGAUGCAAGAUAGGUGCCCAAAUUGCAUCGAACAUACCAUAUGCUUUGAAAUAUAUUUGGAAGCACCAAAUAGAACUCCUAGAUGACGUGUGUCAUAUAGAAUCUCACUUCGGUCUCUUUGGAGGUAGUGUUAGUUUUGGUGCAAGAUAGGUACACGGUUUGUGCCUAAUGCACCAUAGGCUAAGAAACUAUUUUGGACGCACGCGAUGGUACUCCUUGGUGAAGAUGCUCAUGUGUAAUCUUGGAUCUGUCUGUUUGGAGAUAGUUCUAAUCUUGAUGCAAGAUAGGUGCACGUUUUGCAUGGAACAUACCUUAUGCUCACAAAUCAAUUUGGACACACCCGAUGGAACUGUAGAUGCACCCGAUGGAACUACUAGAUGAAGUGUGUCAUAUGGAAUCUCGCUUCAGUCCAGUUGGAGAUAGUAUUAGUUUCGGUGCAAGAUAGUUGCAUGGUUUGUGCCCAGUGCACCAUAGGCUCAGAAAUCAUUGUAGAAGUUCCCGAUGGUACUCCUAGGUGAAGAGUCUCAAGUGAGAGCUCGGUUCAGUCUGUUUGGAGAUAGUGCUAAUCUUGAUGAAAGAUAGGUGUACGGUUUGCAUGGAACGUACCAUAUUCUUAGAAAUCAAUUUGGACGCACACGAUAGAACUCCUAGAUCAUGUGUGUCAUAUGGAAUCUUGCUUCAAUUUGUUUGGGGACAGUGUUAGUUUAGGUGCAAGAUUGGUGCAUGGUUUGCGCAUAAUGCACCAUACGCUCAGAAACCAUUAUGGAAGCACCCGAUGAUAACCCUAGGUGAAGAGGCACAAGUGGAAGGUCGGUUCGAUCUUUUUGGAGAUAGUGCUAAUCUUGAUGCAAGAUAGGUGCACGGUUUGCAUGGAACAUACCAUAUGCUAAGAAAUCUAUUUGGACGCACCCCAACAGAACUCCUAGAUGACAUGUGUCAUAUGGAAUCUCGCUUCGGUGUGUUUCGAGACAGAGUUAGUUUUGGUGCAAGAUAGGUACACAGUUUGCGCCUAAUGCAUCAUAGGCUAAGAUACCAUUUUGGAUGCACCUGAUGAUACUCCUGGGUAAAGGGGCUCAAGUGGAAGCUCAGUUUGCUUUGUUUGGAGAUAGUGCUAAUCUUGAUGCAAGAUAGGUGCACGAAUUGCAUGGAAUGUACCAUAUGCUUCGAAAUAUAUUUGGAAGCACUAAAUAGAACUCCUAGAUGACGUGUGUCAUAUAGAAUCUCACUUCGGUUUCUUUGGAGAUAGUGUUAGUUUCGGUGCAAGAUAGGUACACGGUUUGUGCCUAAUGCACCAUAGGCUAACAAACUAUUUUGGACGCAUGCGAUGGUACUCCUUGGUGAAGAGGCUCAAGUGGAAUCUUGGUUCUGUCUGUUUGGAGAUAGUUCUGAUCUUGAUGCAAGAUAGGUGCACUGUUUGCAUGGAACAUACCAUAUGCUCAGAAAUCAAUUUGGACAAACUCGAUGGAACUGUAGAUGCUCCCGAUGGAACUACUAGAUGAAGUGUAUCAUAUGGAAUCUCGCUUCAGACCAGUUGGACAUAGUAUUAGUUUCGGUGCAAUAUAGUUGCAUGGUUUAUGCCCAGUGCACCAUAGGCUCAGAAAUCGUUGUGGAAGUUCAUGGUGGUACUCCUAGGUGAAGAGUCUCAAGUGAAAGCUUGGUUCGGUCUGUUUGGAGAUAGUGCUAAUCUUGAUGAAAGAUAGGUGUACGGUUUGCAUGGAACGUACCAUAUUCUUAGAAAUCAAUUUGGACGCACCCGAUAGAACUCCUAGAUCUUGUGUGUCAUAUGGAAUCUAGCUUCAAUCUGUUUGGAGACAGUGUUAGCUUAGGUGCAAGAUUGGUGCAUGGUUUGCGCAUAAUGCACUAUAGGCUCAGAAACCAUUAUGGAAGCACCCGAUGAUAAUCCUAGGUGAAGAGGCUCAAGUGGAAGGUCGGUUCGAUCUGUUUGGAGAUAGUGCUAAUCUUGAUGCAAGAUAGGUGCACGGUUUGCAUGGAACAUACCAUAUGCUAAGAAAAUCCAUUUGGACGCACCCCAAUAGAACUCCUAGAUGACAUGUGUCAUAUAGAAUCUCGUUUUGGUCUGUUUGGAGACAGAGUUAGUUUUGGUGCAAGAUAGGUACACAGUUUGCGCCUAAUGCAUCAUAGGCUAAGAAACCAUUUUGGAUGAACCCGAUGAUACUCCUAGGUAAAGGGGCUCAAGUGGAAGCUUAGUUUGCUUUGUUUGGAGAUAGUGCUAAUCUUGAUGCAAGAUAGGUGCCCAAAUUGCAUCGAACGUACCAUAUGCUUAGAAAUAUAUUUGGAAGCACCAAAUAGAACUCCUAGAUGACGUGUGUCAUAUAGAAUCUCACUUCGGUCUCUUUGGAGAUAGUGUUAGUUUCAGUGCAAGAUAGGUACACGGUUUGUGCCUAAUGCACCAUAGGCUAAGAAACUAUUUUGGACGCACACGAUGGUACUCCUUGGUGAAGAUGCUCAUGUGGAAUCUUGGUUCUGUCUGUUUGGAGAUAGUUCUAAUCUUGAUGCAAGAUAGGUGCACGUUUUGCAUAGAACAUACCAUGUGCUCACAAAUCAAUUUGGACACACCCGAUGGAACUGUAGAUGCACCCGACGGAACUACUAGAUGAAGUGUAUGAUAUGGAAUCUCGCUUCGGUCUAGUUGGAGAUAGUAUUAGUUGAGGUGCAAGAUAGGUGCAUCGUUUGUGCCCAGUGCACCAUAGGCUCAGAAAACGUUGUGGAAGUUCCCGAUGGUACUCCUAGGUGUAGAGGCUCAAGUGAAAGCUCGGUUCGGUCUGUUUGGAGUAGUGCUAAUCUCGAUGCAAGAUAGGUGUACGAUUUGCAUGGAACAUACCAUAUUCUCGGAAAUCAAUUUGGACGCACCCGAUAGAACGCCAAGAUCAUGUGUGUCAUAUGGAAUCUUGCUUCAAUCUGUUUGGAGACAGUGUUAGUUUAGGUGCAAGAUUGGUGCAUGGUUUGCGCAUAAUGCACCAUAGGCUCAAAAACCAUUAUGGAAGCACCCGAUGAUAAUCCUAGGUGAAGAGGCUCAAGUGGAAGGUCGGUUCGAUCUGUUUAGAGAUAGUGCUAAUCUUGAUGCAAGAUAGGUGCACGGUUUGCAUGGAACAUACCAUACGCUAAGAAAUCCAUUUGGACGCACCCCAAUAGAACUCCUAGAUGACAUGUGUCAUAUGGAAUCUCGCAUUGGUCUGUUUGGAGACAGAGUUAGUUUUGGUGCAAGAUAGGUACAUUGUUUGCGCCUAAUGCAUCAUAGGCUAAGAAACCAUUUUGGAUGCACCCGAUGAUACUCCUGGGUAAAGGGCCUCAAGUAGAAGCUCAGUUUGCCUUGUUUGGAGAUAGUGCUAAUCUUGAUGCAAGAUAGGUGCACGAAUUGCAUCGAACGUACCAUAUGCUUAGAAAUAUAUUUGGAAGCACCAAAUAGAACUCCUAGAUGAUGUGUGUCAUAUAGAAUCUCACUUCGGUCUCUUUGGAGAUAGUGUCAGUUUUGGUGCAAGAUAGGUACACGGUUUGUGCCAAAUGCACCAUAGGCUAAGAAACUAUUUUGGACGCACGCGAUGGUACUCCUUGGUGAAGAUGCUCAUGUGUAAUCUUGGUUCUGUCUGUUUUGAGAUAGUUCUAAUCUUGAUGCAAGAUAGGUGCACGUUUUGCAUGGAACAUACCAUAUGCUCACAAUUCAAUUUGGACACACCCGAUGGAACUGUAGAUGCACCCGAUGGAACUACUAGAUGAAGUGUAUCAUAUGGAAUCUCGCUUCGGUCCAGUUGGAGAUAGUAUUAGUUUCGGUGCAAGAUAGUUGCAUGGUUUGUGCCCAGUGCACCAUAGGCUCAGAAAUCAUUGUAGAAGUUCCCGAUGGUACUCCUAGGUGAAGAGUCUCAAGUGAGAGCUCGGUUCAGUCUGUUUGGAGAUAGUGCUAAUCUUGAUGAAAGAUAGGUGUACGGUUUGCAUGGAACGUACCAUAUUCUUAGAAAUCAAUUUGGACGCACCCGAUAGAACUCCUAGAUCAUGUGUGUCAUAUGGAAUCUUGCUUCAAUGUGUUUGGAGACAGUGUUAGUUUAGGUGCAUGGUUUGCGCAUAAUGCACCAUACGCUCAGAAACCAUUAUGGAAGCACCAGAUGAUAACUCUAGGUGAAGAGGCACAAGUGGAAGGUCGGUUCGAUCUGUUUGGAGAUAGUGCUAAUCUUGAUGCAAGAUAGGUGCACGGUUUGCAUGGAACAUACCAUAUGCUAAGAAAUCUAUUUGGACGCACCCCAAUAGAACUCCUAGAUGACAUGUGUCAUAUGGAAUCUCGCUUCGGUGUGUUUGGAGACAGAGUUAGUUUUGGUGCAAGAUAGGUACACAGUUUGCGCCUAAUGCAUCAUAGGCUAAGAUACUAUUUUGGAUGCACCCGAUGAUACUCCUGGGUAAAGGGGCUCAAGUGGAAGCUCAGUUUGCUUUGUUUGGAGAUAUUGCUAAUCUUGAUGCAAGAUAGGUGCCCAAAUUGCAUCGAACAUACCAUAUGCUUCAAAAUAUAUUUGGAAGCACCCAAUAGAACUCCUAGAUGACAUGUGUCAUAUAGAAUCUCACUUCGGUCUCUUUGGAGAUAGUGUUAGUUUCGGUGCAAGAUAGGUACACGAUUUGUGCCUAAUGCACCAUAGGCUAAGAAACUAUUUUGGACGCACGCGAUGGUACUCCUUGGUGAAGAGGCUCAUGUGGAAUCUUGGUUCUGUCUGUUUUGAGAUAGUUCUAAUAUUGAUGCAAGAUAGGUGCACGGUUUGCAUGGAACAUAACAUAUGCUUAGAAAUCAAUUUGGACAAACCCGAUGGAACUGUAGAUGCACCCGAUGGAACUACUAGAUGAAGUGUAUCAUAUGGAAUCUCGCUUCGGUCCAGUUGGAGAUAUUAUUAGUUUCGGUGCAAGACAGUUGCAUGGUUUGUGCCCAAUGCACUAUAGGCUCAGAAAUCGUUGUGGAAGUUCCCGAUGGUACUCCUAGGUGAAGAGGCUCAUGUGAAAACUCGGUUCGGUCUGUUUGGAGAUAGUGCUAAUCUUGAUGAAAGAAAGGUGUACGGUUUAAAUGGAACGUUCCAUAUUCUCAUAAAUCAAUUUGGACGCACCCGAUAGAACUCAUAGAUCAUGUGUGUCAUAUGGAAACUUGCUUCAAUCUGUUAGGAGACAGUGUUAGUUUAGGUGCAAGAUUUGUGCACGGUUUGCGCAUAAUGCACCAUAGGCUCCGAAACCAUUAUGGACGCACCCGAUAAUACUCCUUGGUGAAGAGGCUCAAGUGGAAGGUCGGUUCGAUCUGUUUGGAUAUAGUGCUAAUCUUGAUGCAAGAUAGGUGCAUGGUUUGCAUGGAACAUACCAUAUGCUAAGAAAUCCAUUUGGACGCACCCCAAUAGAACUCCUAGAUGACAUGUGUCAUAUGGAAUCUCGCUUUGGUCUCUUUGGAGAUAGUGUUAGUUUCUGUGCAAGAUAGGUACACGGUUUGUGCCUAAUGCACCAUAGGCUCAGAAACUAUUUUGGACGCACACGAUGGUACUACAUGGUAAAGAGGCUCAAGUGGAAUCUUGGUUCUGUCUGUUUGGAGAUAGUUCUAAUCUUGAUGCAUGAUAGGUGCACGGUUUGCAUAGAACAUACCAUAUGCUCAGAAAUCAAUUUGGACAAACCCGAUGGAACUGUAGAUGCACCCGAUGGAACUACUAGAUGAAGUGUAUCAUAUGGAAUCUCGCUUUGGUCCAGUUGGAGAUAUUAUUAGUUUCGGUGCAAGAUAGUUGCAUGGUUUGUGCCCAGUGCACCAUAGGCUCAGAAAUCGUUGUGGAAGUUCCCGAUGCUACUCCUAGGUGAAGAGGCUCAAGUGAAAGCUCGGUUCAGUCUGUUUGGAGAUAGUGCUAAUCUUGAUGAAAGAUAGGUGUACGGUUUGCAUAGAACGUACCAUAUUCUCAGAAAUCAAUUUGGACGCACCCGAUAGAACUCCUAGAUCAUGUGUGUCAUAUGUAAUCUCGCUUCAAUCUGUUUGGGGACAGUGUUAGUUUAGGUGCAAGAUUGGUGAAUGGUUUGCGCAUAAUGCACCAUAGGCUCAAAAACCAUUAUGGAAGCACCCGAUGAUAAUCCUAGGUGAAAAGGCUCAAGUGGAAGGUAGGUUCGAUCUGUUUGGAGAUAGUGUUAAUUUUGAUGCAAUAUAGGUGCACGGUUUGCAUGGAACAUACCAUAUGCUAAGAAAACCAUUUGGACGCACCCCAAAUAGAACUCCUAGAUGACAUGUGUCAUAUAGAAUCUCGCUUUGGUCUGUUUGGAGACAGAGUUAGUUUUGGUGCAAGAUAGGUACACAGUUUGCGCCUAAUGCAUCAUAGGCUAAGAAACCAUUUUGGAUGCACCCGAUGAUACUCUGUUGGGUAUUUUAAACGCAAACAGAAAAAUCCGCAAGCGCACGGAUACCAAUGUAGCCUUCACCCGGGAGUAUUCCAGAGUAUCGAUUUUCCACAGAGAACGUGAGUUUACUAAUUAAGAUCCAAGAUCGCCCAAGGAUAACUAUAUAAUUAUUUUUGGUGGGAAGAGAGGAAGUUUCCUGAGAGUUCUCUAGUUGAUCUAAGAAUGAAGAAUUACUUCAAAGAUUAUCUAUUUCGGGACAUCAGAGCACUAACCACAGAAAGAGAUGAGAAGGGGGCUUGGAAGGUCUGACUACGGUCCUACAAACACCGAUCCGAACGAGGUGGAAUACGUCGACCGUUAGGGCUGUCACUACCCUAAGGCUACCACAACAAUCCGCAGGAUUGGGUGCAAUUCCAGGUAAUCGCAAGACUAAACACCACGUCUAAUCUAUUAAUUACUACUCUAGCGUUAUAAAGACUAGAGCACUUGAUGCAAGCGGGAAUCCAAUAAAUAACUUGAAUGUAAAUAAAAGUAAUUAAAGAACUCAGGAAUUAUGAAUUGAAGAACCUGGAGAACGAUGAAGAACGAAGCAGUUGUUGCAAAAGUACAAUGUUGAGGAAGAUUCGACAGAUCCGGCUCCUCCUCCUCAGCUCUCCUCUUCUCUCUCCCUAUUUUCUAGAUUACAACUAGAACUAACUAGAACUAGAACUAGAGGAACUAGAACUAGAACUAGAUGAACUAGAACUAGAUCUAGAUGAACUAGAGGUAGAACUAGAGGGAUCCUCUCUACUUGGAUGAAGAAUUGAAACCCUAACUUUGAUUCUGUAGAAGAGGUAUGAUCUCCAGGGGCCAGGGGGUCUGGUUUUAUAGUCCCUUCAAGUGAAUCUGGGCCGUUGGAUCAAACCGACAUUGAUUGAACGGUUAUCCUUGAUCCUUUAGGUCGGUGGAGCUUAUCCCGAAAGAGAGUCCUGAUUGGACUCUAUGUGAGGGCGGGCGCCCAGGAGAGGAGGGUGGGCGCCCUGUCCCUGAGUCCUCUCGGCCUCCACUUCGGUCUCGUGGCUUCUGGAGUCUUCUAGAUGAUAGAAAAUUGUGCGGCAUGUUAAUAUCUCUAUGUAAACCUGACAUGUGGGCCUUUCUUCCGUAUUUCCUGAUAACCCCCUGCAGAAAUAGACAAACAUCAAAACUCAUGGAAUUCUAUCAGAUAAAACCCUAAGUCUAGGUGUUGGUUGCAUUUGGAUCCUUUUCCAUGGUUAAUCGAUGGUUAAAUGCGAGCAUUAAGGACCGUCAACAAGCUCCCCCAAGCUUAACCUUUGCUCGUCCCUGAGCAAAGAUGGACUCAAGAGUUUCUGCAGUGGUUUUAUGCCUUAAAGAUAUACAUGCGUUCAAACAAGAUCUCAUCUCUGGGUUUGGGUAAAUUGUUAAGAUUUAAACUUACUCGUUUGACCUUCCACCAUGGGGCUUGUAACCGUCACUUGUGUCUUGAGCAGUUAAAAGAUAGAACGGUCUAGUCAAGCGCCAUGUCUCUUGUUCUUCGAUUAACUAUAGCUCUGGAGUUUUUGCAGAUUUUGAAAUAAAACUCAGAGAUUCCUUGUAUGAUUCUCUCAAGUCUCCCUUUUGUGGUAUUUCUGGAUCCUUACCAAGGCAGUGAUGUAUGUCUUCUCUCAAAGUAUGUGGUAUUUGUGGUAUAAGGCAUAGUGGCAUUGCCUUCUCUCUCACCCUACUCUAAUAAGGCUUUUGAUAUCUGGAGCUCAUAGGUGGGAGAUAAAGUAUACAUACUUACAAGACAUUUAUUGCAUAGUCAAACCAUGGAUCCAGAAGAACAAGUAAAUAAGUCAAAUCAAGAUGUGCAUGUGUGGCUAAUGAAUGGUGUAUGGUGAUGAUGGUGAUAACAAUGGUGAAAGUCUAAUUCUACGUUUGCUCUUUUGAGGGGAUACAUACCUUUCUUGCACUUUGAAGCUUUUUGAGGAGAAUGAGAUGCUCUAUAUUUUCUUUUUUUUUUCUCUCAGGUGGGUAUCUUGUACCCCUAAUUCUACUGUCGGACACUUGUCCAUUUUGACCUCUCGUCUCACUUUUUCUUUUCUUUCGAGGUUCCGGGCACUUGCCCCUUUUUAUUUCCUCGUAUUCUUUCUUUUUUUUCUUUCUCUUUUUUUAGAGCACUCAUCUCCUGAAAUAAUAUAGCAAGUGGUAGUAACCAAGAUAACCUAAGCAUUUAUUUCACAGGGAAAAACAAAAAUAGGAGAAUGUUUUUGUCUAUUCUCUCCCGGAUUAGGGGUAGAAUAUUUUUGGGUGGUUCUGGAGAUGGAAAUGGGUAUAUGUGGAUGCGUACUUCCGGAGUAGAAGCACCAUGUAUGAGUGAACGUGCAAGUGAAUCUUGAUUUAACCACAUGACAAGCUCCUAAGGGUCUACACAGCUUGACCACACUCAAUGCUCAUAAGCAGUAAAAAGUAAAUGUGUGGCUCAAAGUCUAGCAAGCAUGUAUAUAUAGCUGUGGUAGGAAUUUAAACUCUCAUCAUACAGGAACUCAUCUUGCAACAUUUUAAAGGUUUUCAAAGAUAAAAUUCUCUAGAACUCUAGCAUCUCUAGGAACAUAUAAACAGCAACUCAACCUUCCCAUAUCGUAUCAGUUAACGACUUAGACUUUAGAUCAAGUACUCUUCCCACAAGUUCAGGUUUAGAGUAAAUCUUAAUUAAUACCAGUCAUGCCUAAACUUGAGAGAGAUUUCAAUUUUGAGAAUUAGUCAUGGCAGAGCAACUAUUCAUCAUUUCCAUGUGAGAGCUUAUCAUAAGGGUUCAUAGCAAACUUUAUUUAUUUCUUUAUUUAUUUAGCAAACUAAGCAAAGAUAUAUAUAAGCACAAAAUCUUUAUUUGGGUAUUUAUGAUUAUGCAUCUUUUUAUUAUUUGAGUAAAAUAUAAACGUGAGUAGAAUACUUAGCUGGAUAAAUGGGGGUGCUCUCCCCCAAGCUGGAUUUUGACGUAAUUUGUUCUGAUAUAGCUAGCAAGUGACGGAGGUGUAUUUGAAUGUUGGCAGCACCCUAACAGCGAUUAGGAUGUCCUCCGUCUGCUAGUCUUCUUUGAUCCUUGAAUUCUGUGGAGCUCAAAUAGACAACAAAGCUUUGUGGAACUAGUUAAGUGUUAGCAUAAAUAUCUAGCCUUUAUCAUGUUGAGCUUCCUCUAAUAAAUAUUACUCUCUUUACUAGGAUCAUAAAUUUAUUUUUAUAAUUUUAUUUUUAUAGGACAGGAAUAUAUUUAUUUUAUUUUUAUGCCACCACAGUGAAUGUACUUAUGGGUUUUAUGCCAUGAGCAUACUCACAUGGGGCUUACUAUUUUUAACAUUUUUAUUUUCUUUUCAAGAUGAUAUGAACCUGAUUAACUAAGCAAACUAUUUUAAAUAAUUGAAAGGAAAAAGAUAACUACCUCUUGGCAAGGCGUUCGGUGCUUUUAAGUCUUCCAAACGGGACUCCGUUUUCUCAGUCGUCCUGGGAUUCGCUGGAUGGCGUAGUCGGUGAUUCCGGCAGCGCCUCCUCUUCAUGUAUAACUAUCUUCUCUCUCCACACCUGACUCGGUGCUACGGUCUCCUCAGGACAGUUCUGUUCAAGUUGUAUGUCUUCAGACCUUACCACUUCUCCUUCAUAGUCCGCCCAUUCGUCCUUGAUAAUUUGCCUCCUCUGGUUGCGAUUGUGUCGUCUUCUUCUUGUCCUGACCUGCUCAGAGUCUUCAACUAUAUAGUUAGGGUCAGUAAAAUAGCGGCGUACCUUCUCGGAGGGGAAGUGCAUGUGGACUUCUCCGGUUUCAAUGUAGAUGAUUGCUUUAACGGUGCUGAGAAACGGUCUCCUAUGAAUUAUGGGUGGAUCGUACUUGUCUUCAACCUUUCGGAAUGUCUGAUCUGCCAUCUGGAGAUGAAUGUAUGUCGGUUUUAGGGGCAUGGAUCCGAAUAGGAGCUGAUAGGUGACUAGGUCGUCCUUUUUGGUCAGGAAUGGUGACUUAAGUUGAUGAUCUUGACCUCCAUGAACUGCAGUGACCAUCUUAGCUGACUCGGUCCACAUUUGCUUGUUCCUGUUCCUCCUGUUGGUCCUCUUCCUUAGUUUAUGUCGGGAAUGCUCUGAGAUUUAUGUAGUCUUGUUCUUGAAGGAAAACGUCUCCUUCCUCCCCUUGAUGUAGAAACUGAUAUUGGCAGCACUAGCGUAGAUGAUAGCUCCCGAAGUGUUUAGGAAUGGCCUCCCUAGAAUGAUGGGUGCGCUCUCAUCUAUACCAGUCUCUAUCACCAUGAAGUCUGCUGCGGCUUACAAGGUACCAACUCGGACGCAGAGGUUCUUCAAUAUUCCCUUUGGGAAACUUAGCGUACGAUCUGCAAGCUGCAAACACAUGGCUAUUUCUAAUAAAGGACGUGUAAAGAAUUUUUCAUAGAGUACCCUGGGCAUAAUGUUGACGCUGGAGCCAAAGUCGCAGAGUGCUUCUAGGAAGUUCACCAUGCCGAUGGAGAUCGGGAUGACGGGGCGUCCUGGAUUGUCUCUCUUGACCGGCAGAAGGUCAGUAAUUACUUCCACAACGGGGUUACUCCAGUAGUACGUCCUCAAGCAUCCUAGGGCAGUGAUUGCCUGAGUGUCCAGUAUCUCCAGUUUGUUUGUGCUCGUAGAUCUAGGUUCUUCACUAGGUGGAGUCUGGGAGUUGUAAAAGUCCUUCAUAUUUUGCUCGAAGUGUACCUGCUCAUAAAGACAAGGCAGAGAUCAAGUGCAUGGGCCCUGUUGGUGGAAAACACCAACAGAACCAAAAGUGUAUUUGUUCUUCUCUAACCUUAAGCAUAGUGAGCAAGACAAAGUUGAUGGAUAAUGAGUGUAGCAUUUAAAACAUUUGUCAGAUCAGAUCACUCAACCUUAUGGAAAGAUAAUCUAUCUAAGUAAAUGUUUUUUUCUUUACAUGACUAUCAUUUUCCAAAGAUUGAGUGUGCAACAUUUUAGUUCAUAUGAUUAGGAGUGUGAGAUCACAAAGGUGGAAGGACUAAACAUGUUGAAUCGAUUGGGUUGGUUAAUCUAGAGUUAUAAAUCAUACAUGUUUGUCUCUUUUAUUCAUGUGAACGUCAGAACCAAGGAGAAGCUUAUAAAAGUGAUAGUCAAGUACUUUAAGAUGUUACCUUACUUGAAGAGUGAUGGUACAAUAUCACCUUGUGGAAGCUUCCCUUUCUUAGCGGUUGUGCAUCGUGUUUGUGGCACCCUCCAUGGAUCAUCUCUUGUGAGCUAUGCAUUCCUUGUGUAAAUUGUUAACCUUCAUGUGUCUCUCUCUUUGUCUCCAAUGUGAGUUUAUCUCAGGACUUCCCAGGUCGAUAUUGAAAGUUUUCCUGUAGGGGUUAGUCCAACAAAAUAUCCAAUAUUUACUAUAGCAUACUAUCAGCUCAAAGAUCAACCUAGACACCAUGUCUAGUUUGAUUUAGGAGGGCAUUUUAACCUAAGCAUCAUGCUUAAUUUAAACUCCCUUGGAAGUAAGAUCACCAGCCCUAAACUAAGCACCAUGCUUAAUUAAGAGAUAAAUGAAACUACUCCAAACCUAGACAUAUACUAAAGCAAAUAAAGGUAGCAUGAGAGCAUUUAUAGAGUUCUACUCAAGUGGAGAUGAAGUAGUGUGAUUAGUAUUUAACAAAUUGAGCAUGUCUCAAAGGUAGGGACAACCAACAUAGCAACAUGGCAAAUGAUGUUUUUAUGUAAAGUACUUACCCAAGCUUGAAUUUUGCAAAAUUCAAGUUUGGAUGAAUUUAAUUAAAUGUUGUAUGAUGAUUGGUUGGACAUACCUUGUGCUUGUCAUUCAUCCGAUCUUCUUGUCCAAUCCUAGAAAGGUUAGUGACAAGAAUACCUGAAGGAAUAGUUUUACAAUUAUCCUUAUAUGCUCAAUACACAAGGCAAUGUUGCAAAUAAUUAACAACUCUUGUUACGAUCUGAUCAGUGCUUGUCUUAGGACACUAAGCUUGUCCUUAGGAAACCAUCAAUUUAUGUCGGCGAAGUGGUUUCCCCUGCAACGCUGACCUAUAUCAAGAUCAACUCAAUGAGAUCUGCAAUAUUUAAUAUAGACAUAUGCAUCGACAACCGCCCUUUUAAAGUUUUUAUAAAUAGAAAGGAAGUGGGGGUUGGAGAUCUCGAAUGUGGUGAUGUUGGAGAGACCAAUGGAUUGUGAAGAUGUUGCAUAUGAGCAUGGAGUAAAUGAAGUGGCUAUGAAAUAAAUUCCAUGCUCAUUAAUGCUUAGAGUGAAAUCCAUGUGGUGUGGUGAAAAUGGUAAGGUGAGUGUGGUAAAAAAAGGGAAAAGAAAAAGGAUACAGACUAGAGCACUUGAUGCAAGCGGGAAUCCAAUAAAUAACUUGAAUGUAAAUUGAAAGGAUAAGAUGCCCAAGAGGGGGGGGUGAAUUGGGCUUCUCUAAAUAUUUAAGCAACAUAUAAGCUCCAAUUCAACCCCUUGUGCCUAGUGUGACCUAGAGAGCUACCGAAUAAAAGUUUUGCAACCUAGUUCCAAUCCUAUUCUAGCAUGGCAAUUCUAAGAAUGUAAAAGCACAAAGUAAAUGCUAGAAUGUAAAGGAGUAGUGGAAGAAAAUGCUCGGCGAUGUUUUGCUGAGGUAUCAGAGAGUCGCCACUCUCCACUAGUUCUCGUUGGAGCACCCACGCAAGGGCCUUGCUCCCCCAUUGGUCCACGCAAGGACCAAGUGCUCUCUACGGGCUGAUUCUUCGACACUCCGUCGCGGUGAAUCGCCCAAAACCGCUCACAAGCUUGACACGAGCCACCCACAAGAACUCCGGGCGGUCUUCGUGCCUCUAAUCACCACCGAACCAUCUAGGUGAUGGCGAUCACCAAGAGUAACAAGCAAAGAACUCUCACUUGACCCAAACAAGGCUCUAGAGAGUGGUGGAUGCACACUUAACACUUGGAAUUCACUAGAGAAGGAUUCUCUCAAGAAACCACUCAAAUCUCAAUCCUCUCUAGGCUCUUGCUACUCUCUUGCUCCACAACAAGUUUCUCUGAUGUUCAAAUGGGCAAGAGACCUCUCAUGGACGAGGUGGAGCAGUAUAAAUACUACCCACGAAGUCCAAAGGUCAGCCAACCAUUUUCCACUGAAAACGGGGUCACCGGACGCUCUUUAUGUUGCACCGGACGCAUUGCACUGAGCGUCCGGUGCUCCAUAACGGCUAACUGUACUUGCUUCUGACAGUUCUCCGGAUGCUAACUUUCAGCGUCCGGUGCACCGUCCGGUGCUCGGGGAAGAUUUACAUGCUCCCUGCGCAUGGGACCGGACGCUACCCGGCGCGUCCGGUGCUAGCGUCUGGUGCUCAUGGCAGGUUUGCAACCUCCCUGGGUAUGGGACCGGACGCUGCCCGGUGAGUCCGGUGCCAGCGUCCGGUGCCUAACCCUAAGCACGGCACUGUUCCAAUGGCUAAGGACCUCGCCGGACGCACUCACAGAGCGUCCGUUGCAGCGUUCGGUGCCCCCUUGGGCACCCUAACUUCGUCGAAACGCGAUCACUCCAAAACGAAGUUUGUUCCUCUCGAUCCAAGGACUAUCUCUGAGCUGCCUAGUGCUAGGUUUACCAAGUGUGCACCACACCUAAACCUAAAGCCUUGCCUAAGUCAAGCUACUAGAUCUAAGCCCCUCUUAAUAGUACGGUCAAUGGAAAACAAAGUCCUAAACUACUCUAAGUGCCCUUCUUCACCAUAUGGCACUUAGACCUAGUCUAGUCUUGACGAUGUCCAUCCAUCCUUCAAAAACUGAAAACGAUUUCCACUAUUAAGUAGGCAUGUACGUCCCUGUCCAUCGAGUACCUAUUUACCAUGACCUUACCUAUGACUUUGCCUCUGCAAAACACACGUUAGUCAUAGUAAUCAACAAUGUCAUUAAUCACCAAAAUCACUAGGGGCCUAGAAGCUCUUUCAAUCUCCCCCUUUUUGGUGAUUGAUGACAACCUCGAGUAUGAAAAGAGUUGAGUUUUCAAAUGACUUGGUUUCAAUAAGCAUGAUACAAUAAGAACAAAAGGAUUAGACAUGCUUAUAUCAACCAAGUCCAACAUCCUACAUCCAAAUAUGUGAGUUGAAUACAACAGGAUAUAAACACAAGGCUCAUAAGUACAUCGGAGUAAAAAUGUGGAAGAAAAGGUAAUAUGAGCCAAAGCACAUGACAUUAAGAUAUUACAAUUAAGCACAAGUCAUGUCUCACAACCAUAGUGUAUCUCACACAAAUGCAAUGCAUAAAGAUAAACGUGAUGCAUGAUAGAGUAGCACACAUAAAAGUAUCUCAAAAGAAUAAAAAACCCCUCUCUAGCUCUCUAGCUCCCCCUAACUCCUAACUCUCAUACUCAUACUCUCUCUCCCCCUUUGGCAUCAAGCGCCAAAAACCUAAGAAGUCGGUGGAGGAGGCGAAGCAGUGGAGUCCCUCGGCACGGCCUCAAAGCGAGCUGCAUCGUCUAAACCAUCGGCCGUCGAGGCGGAGGAAGUAGAGUGACCCUCUGAAGCUGCACGAGCUGGCGAAGCAGUCUGGGUCGGCUCUGUAGGGGCAGGAGUUGUGACUGGCUGUGCAGGCUGCUCGAGUCCUGUUGACGAAGCUGGCAUGGACUCGGUCGCUGUAGCUGAAGUCUCUGGCACUGUAGACGAAGGUGCUAGCUGCUCAAACGACGCUACGGACGACGACAGACGCUCAGUAGUGGUGACUGGUGCCGUAAAAGGUGCAGGAGCCUGCAGAGGUGGAGGCGUAGGGUCACCAGUCAGAGCACUGUAGGAGAAGCUGAGGUGUGGGUCUGUCGACGAGUCCAACACGAGCUGUGGCGCUGACGCUGACUGCGGAGUGAAACCAGAGCGGAGAGGUGUAAACUGAGGUACCUGCUCAAAGCCAGAGGAGAUAGCACCCUAGGAGACCUGGUGCUGAGGCAUCGAGAACGGCUGACUCUGAGCGGGUAGCUAGAGAAGCUGCUGAGACUGACUCUGAGUCGGAGGCGCUGGAGUGGGUGGCCUGACAGUCGAAGUGCCUGGGAGCUGAAUCUGCGGAAUCUGAAUCCCUGAGGCGGCCAUGAGAGCGGCCAUCAUCGCUGUCUGCUGGGCCUGGAACGCAAGCUGCUGCUCCUGAAAGGUGAGAAGCUCUCGCUGGAGCUCAUCCUGCCUGGCCUGCAUGGCUGCAUUGAUGGCAGCCUGGUCCCUGUCUCUCCUCGCCUGCUCCUCAGCUGCGCGGCGCUGAUCUGCUCUCGUCCCCUCUAGAAUGGCAAGCAGAGCGGGGUCUGAAGCACUCGAGGAGCCUCCUGUAACACCCCAGGUGUUUGUCACUUGCUAAGUACUAGGUUUGAGCUCAAACAUGACAAGUUCAAUGGUAAUAAAGAGGUCAAAGUCAAUCUAUGAAAGUAAACCCCAACUUGGGCUUGGUGGAUGCAACCUUGGUUGCAUAUAUGCCUUUUUAAAAGGUAUGCUUUGAUGAUGCUAAUGGAACCUUUUCCAUGUGUCUUAUAUCCAUCCCAAUCUAUGUUGGUCUCUCGAAAAGUUUGGUGAAGUUUGGAAUCAAGAAGUCACAUGAAAUGAUAAGUUAUAUCCUUGUUGGAAUGACUCUAUUAAGGAAAUGGAUUCAUGGGUCACCAACCAAACCUUGCAAACUUACUCAUAUGACUCUAGAUGAAUUAUACAACAAAAGUCAUGAAGGGUUCAUGUUGAGCUUAUGUCAAGAAAAUGCUUCAAUUGGUCUAAAAUCCUAUUUGGAGCUUUAUCAGGAUACUGCAUUGACCAAAGUGAAAGUUUGACUUCGGUUGCAGUUAUGAGGUUUGACCCUAAAUGAAAGUUGUGGUUUUGCUUCUGUAGAAGAAACUUUAUUCAAAGGUCAAGAACCAAAUCAGCCUGCAAACAGUUCAAACAGAGGCUCGAAGUUCGAAUCAGCUGCUGUUUUUCAGCCCUGAGAAAUAGUUCUAAGUCCCUAGAAGGACAGCAGUGAGUUAGCUUCUUCGUGACGUUUUAUUAUGCAAAUUCAUAUGGUAACUCAAUUAGAUUCCUUAAUAUGAGUUGGACUACUCUUCUUGAUGAAAGCAAUGGAUCAAGUAUCAUCAAAUUUGGAGUUCAUUUGGAUGUUCAAAAAUAGCUCCCAAAACAGCAAAAGAUUAAUUUAUCGCUAAACGGACGUCGACCCGUUGGCAUGCCGCGUUCUCGUGUUUUUGUUAAGCAACUCAAGUUGGUCCAAAAGUAAAAGUUGUGGAUAAUUGUUUGGAGAAGGUUAUGUAAAAAGUUGCAUCAAGUUUGACAUGGUUUGGACCAUCAAUUCUUGGUUUUGCUAAUCACCGUCAAUACGUUGACACUCGUGAAUUGGCAUUAAGUUAUCUCUUAAUCUGUUAGUCUAAUGAUCUUGGUCACUUAAUCAAAGUUGGAGAGCAGGCCGAGGUGAGCAAACUUCGUUUCUGGCCCAAGGUCCAAUUCAGCCCGGAAAAGGCCCAAAAUCGCCUCCCACGCCGGCCACUUCGCUGCGCGCCACGUGCUCGGCGAAAUGUGUCAAAGGGAAACGCGUGUCCUGGGCGUGUCCACCAUGCACAGCGCCCCCACCUCCAUUUGAUGAACCCCUGCUGCCCUCUUGCGGUCUGUGAAGCCAGAGAGCGCUCCCCACCCUUCUGUUGUGGACGCCCAGCUCCCUCAUCCGCUCCCUUGCCUCUCUCCUCGCUCUGGUGCCGCUGUCCGCCAUGGACAUCAAGCGGAGCUUCAUGGCCUCCAUGGCUAGGCCGUCCACGAGUGGCUCGGGCCAAGCUGCGUGGUGUGGAGGAUGCGGGCAAGCCUCCUGGUGCUUUCCCACUCCUCCAUCGUCGCCGAGACUCAGGGUUCCAGAUGCGAAGCCAAGACUCGUAUGAAUAGUGUUUGUGGUCUGUUGCGUGAUUCGUGGAAAGUCCAGGGUCCCCGGUGAAAGAUCUGUUUUCCUUUUUCCUUUGUUUUUACAGAUUUCAUGGAUGAACUUUGUAAAUGCAUAGAAAUUCGUAGAAAAGUCGUAAAAUAGCAAAUGUGGACUUUUUGGAAUCCUUGUGAAAUUCUCUAUGCAGUAGAUCUAUAAUAUGGCAUGGUUUAGUUUGAAGUUUUAGUCGUAAAAAUAGAUUUAUGCAGUUAGGUUUUAACUGCUUGUUAUAUUUGUCUUUUUCAUAACUGCUGUGUUGUUGCCCAAAUAAAUGUGAAAAUAUUGUGACAUGUUUUUCAUAUGGUAUUUGAUGACUGGUAAAAGUUUCAUGAAUUUAGGAACAAUAUAUUAAGAGUUACAAAAAUAACAAGUACCCUGUGUUCCUUUGCUCCUAUUCUGAGUGGAUCUGCAUGUUUGUAUUGUUUGGCUCAGUUCAGUUGUGAAUCAUGCCUUAAUGAAAAUAUAUAAGUUUUAGUACUUUUCAUGAGCUUUCCAAAAAGAUAAAUAGCACAAUUUUUGGUUGAGCACAUGUUGAGUUAUAGUGGUUUAAAUUACUGUUCCAGUUUCUGUCUAAACCCAGACAGAAUUGCAUUGUUUGUAAUGUAAGACCUUGUUAGUGGUAUAUUUAGCUCUAGAUGUUUAUAACAAAGUUGUUCACAAUUUCGUAAGCUUUCUAGAAUGUACACAAUCAUAAAUUAUGGACAUAUGAACUUCAAGUUAUAGCUGUUUAAUGUAGCAUGGCAGAUUCUGUCUAUGUUUUGGACAGAGAUGCCUUCAUGGGAUUAAUUGACCUUGAUAACUGUGGAAUCAUAUUUAGAUGAUAAUAAGAAAGUUGUAGGCAACUUUAUAAUCUUUUCACAAAUAUAAGAAUUAUGUUUGCUGGAGGUCUACAACUCCAGUUAUGCUGCUUUGAAUUGUCUAUCAGUUUUCUGUUUGUAAAUGUACCUCUACUGUUUGGACAGCAUGAGCAGUUUUAUUUAUGCAACUAAUUCCAUGAUAUAAAUGAUGUUUGCUGUGAAACUUGUAUAUAGAAAAGAUGUAGAUAAUUUACUAGUAUAUAUUGUGGUAAAGUUUCAUAUCAUUUGGCUAAGUGGUUUAUGAGUUACAGUAGUAUGAAGUUCAUCCUUUGAAAUGCUUGUUCUCUGGAAAUUCCGGGACCAGAUUCUAUGGUUAUGCAUGUUUGACUUGGUUAACUUGUUAAUCAUACUGAGAUGAUUAAAUAUGAAUUGUAGAUAAUUUUAUAUUCUUUCCAGAAUGUCCUAUUGCAUAGUUUUUGGAGUUGUGUAACUCCAGUUGUGAUUUAAUUACUGAGUUGUUGCAUGUAUGUCCAGAAUUGCUGAAAUACAUGAAUGCUUGAUUGCUUUACUUUGUGUGAUCUAAGUAUGAUUCAUGUCUUUAAUGGUGAUUUAAGUAAUACACUUGUAAACUUGUUAAACUUGUGUCAUGAUUGAUUUGUUUGCUCUAUAUAAUUGGUUGUGUGAUGUUAGCUAAAUAACUUUAGAUGCUUGUGUCUUGCAUACUUUUAUGUGAUGCAUGUUGUGUUAUUAUUCUUUAUAUUCAUGCACUUGCAUCUUGCAUCUCAUCUAGGUACGCUAGAUGACUCACGUGAAGGUCUUGGUGUGGGAACAAACCCGAAGACGGUGUUGGGCGGACCCAUCCUGAAGGUGGAAGGACUAAACAAGUGUUGUGACCUAAGAUGUCACCAAGAUGGAGCCACUAACUGAACUGACUCAGUGUUGAUCCCAGGCAAGCCCCGGAGCAUUAUAAGUCUCCCACUACUUUUGAAUGCAGUUGAGAAUAUAUGUUAUAUAUGUAUUGUUGCAUUAAGUAUAGGAGUUGGGUGAAACCCUUGCUGCAUAUAACACUCCUUGUCCAGCAAAUAUACCUAUAACCCUAUGUAGAUUCAGGAUCGAAUCUAAAUGCUUAGCUAUGCUUAGACCGGUAGAAGCCAGGUGAUGUCCCGUCACCUGAGCGAGAUAGGUGGACACCUGAAAAGAUUGGCUAUAUAUGCUAUCAUGGAAAUAACCAAGUGAUGAGGAUGAAUAAUUGGAGACCGGGCGGGACGAUGAUAGAGAAGCAACAAGGCAUGGAGGUCUUGGGUGCCUACCUAUCCCCGCCUGUGUCGAUUAAGGACCGAUCGUUGACGGCCCUCUUGUCAUGUUGAACCCAUGCCCCACACUUAGCUGGAAGGAUAAGUCGUUCCGACCGCGAAGCCUGAACACUAUCCGGGCCGGGAGUCGAGCCGCCAUGCGCUGUAUUGGUGAUGGUUGAGGAGAACGACGAGGGCGCGGCGUGCAACCUUGGUAUACCUUGGAUACCUCGGUCGCCGGAACGGUCCUCGGGUACUGGCGGUGCCUGCCGAACCCGCGAAUUGGUCCUGGAUAGUGUAAUACGGUGACCUGUAGUUCACUUGAUCAGUGAGUGUGGUUUGUGUGGGGAAUAACUCGCCAGCUGGUCAGAAAUCGAUUCGAAUCGCCAUCGCUCCUGGAUAGUGAGCACUUGACUUGAGCCCCGUCCUCGUAGUAAUGUUUAUGGAACACUUGGAUGGUUAUGGUAUGAUGAUGAUGUGGGAAAUGCCACAUCAAAUAUGGGUACUACUGUUGUAUCUUAAUCAAGUGAUUGCUUUAGUACAGGUGCUAAUCUAGAUGAUAGGUUAAUGAUUAUUAACUUGAGCUAAAUACCUGAAAGGAUUACUUAGUUGCAACUUAAGCUUUUUAUGCAAAAAGUGUUGUCAAGCUAGCUCCACCAAUAAAGCCUUGGAUACUCCUUGGUGUCAUCUUAUUUCUGGUUUAUGACGGGUAAGUCUAGCUGAGUACCUUCUCGUACUCAGGGUUUAUUCCCACUUGUUGCAGGUUGUGAUGUAUCAUGGCUACUGCAAGAGUUGGAUGACUCCUAUCAUAGUGGAGGAGUAAGAUCAUGGGCAUGAUCCUUCUUAGUUACCUCAUCUAUGUUGCUUUUGUUGGAGUUGACCUGGAUACUGGCAUGUAUUUGAAAUAAGGGCAAUAUUAGUUUCAAAUUACUUUGCUUCCGCUACUUUUCAACUCAAGUUGUAAUAACUAUCUUGAACUCUGAUGUAUAUCAAACUACUUGUGAAAUGGAUGUAACAUGUGACUUGUUAUGUUGAAUCACUACGAUCUUGGCUUGUAAGAUGGUUGGUUUGAAAUCCCUCGUGAUUUCACGGACUACCGGGUUUAUGAGAGUUCGAUUACGUUAAAGCAACUGCUUUGGCGGGAGUUUUUCGUAGUUGAUCUCUUGUAAAUUGGGCGGUUCUGUUACAGCUCCUGCCUCGUGGUCGUGUGCUCUAGGGGGGAAGUCUAUCACUGGAGGCUAAUAGUCAUCAUCUGAGCUGUCGAAAGCAAAGUCAAACUCCCCCUCAGCCUCAGCAUCUGCAAAAGCCCCAAUGACUAUAUCCUGCUGCUCCUCUGUCUCUGAUACUGCUGCUGUACUGCGAGUGCCCCUAGGAGAAGGUGGGGGCACCGGUCCACGGGGUGCACGAGGAGGUGGAGUAGCUCGGAGGUCGUGGUGUGCUCGCAGCAUCUGCCUGGGGUCGUAGUGGGGAAAGACGGUGUCUGACUCUGUCAACUCCCUCUGCAAGUGAGCUGGCAGGGGCACGGGCCUAGCACGAAGAAUAGGCAAGGUGAUCCAAUGUGCGUAUGGCAGCUGACGCCGUCCCCUGAAGCUCUCUGAGAUAGUGUCUUCAAUCUCUAAGACUAUCAAAUCCCACAAGUCAAACUGAGUCUGUGAGAUGAGGUGAGCAACCAGCCACUGCUGAAUCCGAGUGAAUCCAUCCCUGUAGCCUGUCCUGGGGAGAAGAGUCUUCCUCAACACAAAGUCGAGGAUCCUAGCUGGGCGUGUCAAAUCUCCCACUGUCCUGCUGGAGCCCUCUCCAAAAGGUGGAUGGAAACAAGGAGCCACGAAGUCUACCGGUGGUAUCUCACCACCGUGAGGACGUCGGGGAGGCUCGAAGUUCCCGUAGCAAAGCUGGUGAAUCCUGGUAGAGUAAGCUCGUAGCCCAAGUACCUCUCGGGCCCUCUAAGCUGUCACUCUGUAAUCCGUGCCUGCCAGUGCGUAGUGGAUAUAGUUGUGGUCUGGAGACACCCACACUGACGCGUAGAACUCUCGAACCCACUGCUCACAGUAAGUACCAGGGAGAGCUAGCAACUCUGGGAGGCCGUGGAGGUAGGUGAAGUACUGACGAAUAUCUGCCCCAACCACGUUCCUGAGUAUCUCAAGGUCAAUAACUCGGUGCUCCCUGAACUGAGACUGAGAGCGAACCAGUGCCUCGUAGAUGUCCUCCUGGACGACUGUGUAGAACCUGGCACCGGCUCUGGGGUCCCUAGCAGCUGGGAACCAAAUAGGAAAAGGAACGAAACGCAGCUGCUGGAUCUCUCUGGCUGACACAAGGGUGAGAUCCCUGUGAAUCCUGACUGGUCUUUGACGAGAAGCUGGUGUGCCUCUGGCUGGAGUAGCACGAGCAGCGGAGGUAGACUUACCCGGCGUACCAGUACGAAGAGUGGCCUGGGUACGUGCGCGAGUCGACCUCCUGAGGGGCUGCUCCUGUACCUCUGCUGGACCCUCUGCCUGGGCCUCUGUCUCUAUGUCAGUGUCUGGAUCCUCCUGAGCUGGCUCUCUGACAUUGAUCCUGACACGCUACCCUCCUAGCAUAAUAGUGCCUAGAGGUGAUCCAUGUCGAGCCUCGGCCUCAAGAACUGCACGCCUCUGACAUGGCGUGAGAUCGGCCCCAAUCCUCAAAGCACCUGACCGUCCUCCCCUCUCAGCUGCCUCUGCUGCUGCUGCAACUGCCUCUGCCACCUCUGCCUCUCUGUCGCUGGCCUUGCGCUUCUUGGUGGCCAACUUCUUGCCCUUGCCCUUCUCUGCCGCUGACAGGCGACGGGGAGGAUCACCUCCACCAUCACCUCCUGGGGAACCUCCAGCGCUGGCUGCUGAACCACUGACGUUCUUGCAACGUGCCAUCACAAGAACGACUGCCUGAAUGAACUGCCGAUAAGGAGCCAACUGACAAUGGAGAUCAAUAGUUGCUCUGCCAUGACUAGUUCUCAAAAUUGAAAUCUCUCUCAAGUUUAGGCAUGACUGUUAUUAAUUAAGAUUUGCUCUAAACCUAAACUUGUGGGAAGAGUACUUGAUCUGAAGUCUAAGUCGUUAACGGAUAUGAUAUGGGAAGGUUGAGCUGUUGUUUAUCUGUUCCUAGAGAUGCUAGAAUUCUGAAGAAUUUUAUCUUUGAAAAUCUUUAAAAUGUUGCAAGAUGAGUUCCUGUAUGAUGAGAGUUUAAAUUCCUACCACAGCCAUAUAUACAUGCUUGUUAGACUAUGAACCACACAUUUACUUUUUACUGCUUAUGAGCAUUGAGUGUGGUCAAGCUGUGUAGACCCUUAGGAGCUUGUCAUGUGGUUAAAAUCAAGAUUCACUUGCACGUUCACUCACACAUGCUACUUCUACUCUGGAAGUACCAUCCACAUAUAUCCACCCAUUUCCAUCUCCAGAACCACCCAAAAAUAUUCUACUCCUAAUCCGGGAGAGAAUAACCAAAAAUAUUUCUGCUUUUCCCCUGUGAAAUAAAUGCUCAAGUUGUCUUGUUACUACCACUUGCUAUAUUAUCUCAUGAGAUGAGUGCUCUAAAAAAAAGAAAAAAAAGAAGAAAAGAAAAAAAAGUAUACGAGGAAAUAAAAAGGGGCAAGUGCCCGAAACCUCGAAAGAAAGAAAAAGUGAGACGAGAGGUAAAAAUGGACAAGUGUCUGACAGUAGAAUUAGGGGUACAAGAUACCCACCUGAGAGAAAAGAAAAAUAAAAUAUAGAGCAUCUCAUUCUCCUCAAAAAGUUUCAAAAGAGCAAGAAAGGUAUGUAUCCCCUCAAAAGAGCAUAAGUAGAAUUAGACUUUCACCAUUGUGGGGCAAGUGCCCGGAACCUCGAAGAAAAAGAAAAAAGUGAGACGAGAGGUAAAAAUGGACAAGUGUCCGACAAUAGAAUUAGGGGUACAAGAUACCCACCUGAGAGGAAAGAAAAAGAAAAUAUAGAGCAUCUCAUUCUCCCCAAAAAGCUUCAAAAUGCAAGAAAGGUAUGUAUCCCCUCAAAAGAGCAAAAGUAGAAUUAGACUUUCACCAUUAUUAUCACCAUCAUCACCAUACACCAUUCAUUCGCCACACAUGCACAUCUUGAUUUGACUUAUUGACUUGUUCCUCUGGAUCCAUGGUUUGACUAUGCAAUAAAUGUCUUGUAAGUAUGUAUUAGCUGUCUCCCACCUAUGAGCUCCACAUAUCAAACCUUAUUAGAGUAGGGUGAGAGAGAAGGUAAUAUCACUAUGCAUUAUACCAAAAAUACCACAUACUUUGAGAGAAGACAUAUACCAUUACUGCCUUGGUAAGGAUCCAGAAAUACCACAAAAGAGAGAUUUGAGGGAGUCAUAUAAGGAAUCUCUGAGUUUUAUUUGAAAAUCUGCAAAAACUCUAGAGCUAUAGCUCAUCAAAGAACAAGAGACAUGGCGCUUGACUUGACCGUUCUAUCUUUUAACUGCUCAAGACACAAGUGACGGUUACAAGCCCCAUGGUGAAAGGUAAAAUGAGUAAGUUUUAAGUCUUAAUGUUUUAUUCUAACUCAGAGAUGAGACCUUGCUUGAAUGCGUGUGUACUUUUAAGGCAUGAAACCACUGCAGAAACUCUUGAGUUCAUCCUUGCUCAGGGACGAGCAAGAGGUAAGCUUGGGGGAGUUUGUUGACGGUCCUUAAGUAUCAAAUUUAAUUAUCAAAUAAACAAAGAAAAGGAUCCAAAUGAAAUCAACAUCUAGACUUAGGGUUUUAUCUGACAGAAUUCCACGAGUUUUGGUGUUUGUCUAUUUCUGCAGGGGCUUAUCAGGAAAUAAGGAAGAAAGGCCCACAUGUCAGGAUUACAUAGAGAUAUCAACGCACCGCACAAUUUUCAAUCAUCUAGAAGACUCCAGAAGCCACGAGACCGAAGCGGAGGCGAAACGGGGCCAGGACCUGUGCGCCCGCCCACCUGCCGAGCCCAAUCAGGACUCUUUCUCUCGGGAGAUCUCCACCGACCUAUGGGAUCCAGAAUAACAUAGUACCACAUUGCCUACCGACCCAAAAACGCAUAGAAGGGGAGGACUAUAUAAGGAGACCCCCCUGGCCCCUGGAGAAGACAAGAAAUUAUCAUAGAGAUUGAGGGGUGCCCUCGAAGGAAAACCUCUUCUCUAAAUAAUAUUUCUUUUUAGGCUUAGCAACCAAUGUAAAGUAGAAAUAGAUCUUCUAGUUUCUACUAGAUUGAGAGAUAUAGAGUGGAGGUGUGGAUCGGAGGAAGGCCGGCCUGUCGGUGUCUACUCCGAGUUGUACCUACGGGAUCAAGUCUCCUAACCCGAGGCUUGCUUCUAAGAUUCUUCAGUAAUUCGACUUCUAAUUCUAGUAAGUUCUUGUUUUAUUGUUCUUUGCUUUAUGAGUUUACUUUAUCCUCUUCCGGUUGAGUAUUAGAGUAAUCACUUGCUAGCGUAAACGUGGUGUUUAGGCUAGGGUACUCAUAGAUAUCCCCUGACUAGCUGGACCGUGGUAGUAGCGAGGAACGUGACAUUUCCGAGUUACCUUUGUAUCCCAUAUCUUGUUAGCAGGACGGGUAGGGUUAUAGGUGCGGGUCGAACAUCCUUUGUGUUGUCUAGAUUCCGUGAGCCUCCCCAAUAGAACAGUAGAUCAUCCUUACCAAGGUUAGAACGAGACUACGGUUGCAGUCUUCUCUAUACAUCGCUCACGUCGAGAAACAUUCUUUGUAGCCUAAAGGGGUAGUAGCAAUAGAUUUGGUUAGUCAGAUGCACCCUUUCUCCCAGUGGUAAAAAUAUAAAUACGAUAACUCUCGAUAACCUCCCGGGUGAAAUGCUCACCGAUAUCCGUGCGCUUGCGGAUCAUUUCCUGAUUGCGUUACCAAAUAUCAACACGCAUUUCUGGCGCCGUUGCCGGGGAGAAAGACAGUUUGCUGAGAUAACUUUGAGUCUUGCUAUUAUCUUGUAUUAUACUUUUAUACUUUUAUUCUUUUAUCUUUUUAUCUUUAUGGAUAACUUAAAUUCCAUACCUAUUAUUGAAUUCUUUGCACCUUCGGAGACCAGCCAUAGACCAUGGGAGUCAACACGUCCUACCCCUAAUUAUGAUCUGUGUCCGGAGUUGAUUGCAAUAGGUCAAAACCAACCCUUUUCUAUAGCUAAGGUCCUAUCUUUUAAUCAAGAAGAUAAUGCACUUUUAGCUACACCUAGGGAAUCUGUUAAUCUUUCUAUAAAUUCUGGUUUAGACCUAGCCCUACAAGACCAUGUUUUUCCUAGAUAUUUUCACAUUGGUCUUAAUCAUAUAACCUUUGGUAGAGUCUUUCUUUCUUUCUUUAUCUAUUAGUAAAGGAAUGUAUGUCUUCAUUUGUGGACAUCCUUCUUGCACUAGUCUUCACAAAAAUAUCCUAGAGAUAGAGAAGGAAUCAUCUCCCAGACGAGGAAAGGAAGUUUCAAUAGCCAAUUUCCCAAUAUUUCAAUCCCAUAAUUCGGCUAUGCAACCCAUCCUUGAGCUUAAUAAUUUCUACUAUGCUCUUUCUCUUGAACCUCUCGAUAAUCCUAUGAAUCAUUCUAGACAUCCCAUGCAUAAGAAGGAGGAUCGAGAAGAGCAACAUCGAUGGCUAGAGGGCAUUAAAAAUCCAUGUGCUAUCACCAUUGAAUGGAUAGAUAAAACAAACUUGAGAGACAAUCCUAGAGGAAUUUUAAGCAUUCAUGAAGAAUCAUCCUUGGAGUUUGAGAAUGAGAGAAACAACAGUGAGCAUGGAAGCUAUUUCAUAAAUACCUCACCCAGUCCUUGCUCAUAUAAAACAUCUCUCCAAUCAAUUUGUCUCUCCAUCCUUACCACAUUUGAGAUCUCCAACCCCCUCUUCCUUUCUAUUUAUAAAAACUUUAAAAGGGUGGUUGUCGAUGCAUAUGUCUAUAAUAAAUAUUACAGAUCUCGUUGAGUUGAUCUUGAUAUAGGUCAGCGUUGGAGGGGAAACCACUUCGCCGACAUAAAUUAAUGGUUUCCCAAGGACAAGCUUAGCGUCCUUAAUCAAGCACUUAUCAGAUCGUAACAUGAACUUCUAAUUAUUUGCAACAUUGCCUUGUGUAUUGAGCAUAUGAGAUAAUUGUAGAAAUAUUCCUUCGGGUAUUCUUGCCACUAACCUUUCCAGGAUUGGAGCAAGAAGAUCGGAUGAAUGACAAGCGCAAGGUAUGCCCAACCAAUCAACAUGCAACAUUGAAUUAAAUUCAUCCAAUCUUGAAUUUUGCAAAAAUUCAAGCUUGGGGGAGUACUUCACAUAAAAACAUCCUUUGCCAUGUUGCUAUGUUGGUUGUCCUUACCUUUGAGACAUGCUCAAUUUGUUAAAUACUAAUCACACUACUUCAUCUCCACUUAAGUAGAUCUUUAUAAGCCAUCAUGCUACCUUUGUUUAUCCUAGUAAGUGUUAGUUUGGAAGUACUGUACAUACUUCUAUUGGCUUUAAAAUUAAGCGUGGUGCUUAGGUUAAAUAGCCUUCCUUAAUCUGAUUAGACAUGGAGUCUAGUUUGGUUACUGAACUAAAAACUGCUUGAGUAGGCAUUGGUAUAUUUUGUCGGACUAACCCCUGCAGGAAAACUUUCAAUAUCAACCUGGGAAGUCCUGAGAUAAACUCACAUUGGAGACAAGGAGAGGGACACAUGAAGUUUAACAAUUUACACGAGGAAGACGUAGCUCAUAAGAGAUGAUCCAUGGAGGGUGCCACAAACACGAUGCACAACCGCUAAGAAAGAAAAGCUUCCACAAGGUGAUACUGUACCGUCACUCUUCAAGGUAACACCUUAAGGUACUUGACUAUCACUUUUAUAAGUUUCUCCUUGGUUCUAGCAUUCAUAAAGAGACAAACAUGUAUGGUCUAUAACUCAUUAAACAACUCAAUUGAUUUAGCAUGUUUAGUCCUUUAAUCUUUGUUCUUAGUACUACCUUCGUGAUCCCACACUCCUAAUCAUAUAAGCUAAAAUAUUGCACAUUUAAAUCUUUGGAAGAUACAAACAAAACAUAAAUAUAGAUAGAUUAUCGUUCCAUUAGGUUGAGCCAUCUGAUCUAACAAAUGUUUUAAAUGCUACACUCAUGAUCCAUCAACUUUGUCUUGCUCACUAUGCUUAAGGUUAGAGAAGAACAAAUACACUUUUGGUUCUGUUGGUGUUUUCCACCAACAGGUCUCAUGCACUUGAUCUCUGCCUUGUCUCUAUGAGCAGGUACAAUUCAAGCAAAACAUGGAGGAGUUUUACAACUCCCAGAUUCCACCAAGUGAAGAACCGGGAUCUACGAGCACAAACACAAUGGAGAUUAGACACUUAGUUUCCCAAAGGAAAUAUUGAAGAACCUCUGUGUCCGAGUUGGUACCUUGUACACUCCAGCAAACUUUGUGGUGAUAGAGACUGGUACUGAGGAGAGGGCACCCAUCAUCUUAGGGAGGCCAUUCCUAAACACCAGAGGUGUCAUCUACGCUAAUGCUGCCAAGAUCAGUUUCUACAUCAUGGGGAAGAAGGAGAAUUUCCUUCAAGAACAAGACUACACAAACUUCAGAGCAAUCCCGACAUAAACCAAGGAAGAGGACCAACAGGAGGAACAGGAACAAGCAAAUGUGGACCGAGUCAACUAAGAUGGUCACUCCAGUUCAAAGAGGUCAAGAUCGUCGACUCAAGUCACCUUUCUUGAUCAAGAAGGACGACCCUGGUGUUCCAAGCAUCGAGUGCACAAUCAAUGGAUACUGUUUUUAGAAGACACUCUACGACACAGGAUCUGAUGUCAACAUAAUGGCCGCAGUCACUUAUUAGCUCCUGCAUGGAACCAUGCCCCUACAACCAAUAUAUUCAGCUCCAGAUGAUUUUCAGAUCAUUGACAUGGGAGAAGACGAGUACGAUCCACCCAUCAUCCUUGGAAGACCGUUCCUCAACACUAUCAAAGCAAUCAUCUACAUUGGAAGCGGAGAAGUCCACAUAUACUUUCCCUCUGAGAAGGUACGCAGCUAUUUUACUGACCUUAACUAUAUAGUUGAAGAUUCUAAGCAGGUCAGGACAAGAAGAAGACAACGCAACCGCAACCAGAGGAGGCAAAUCAUCAAGGAUGGAUGGGUAGACUACGAAGGAGAACUGAUAAGGUCUGAAGACAUACAGCUUGAACAGAACUGUCCUGAGGAGACCAUAGCACCGAGUCAGGUGUGGAGAGAGAAGAUAGUUACACACGAAGAGGAGGCACCGCCGGAACCACCGACUACGCCAUCCAGCAAAUCCCAGGAUGACUUAGAAAAUGGAGAGUCCCAUUCGGACCGAACGCCUUGCCAAGAGGUAAACUUGGUAGUUAUCCUUUCCCUUUCAAUUAUUUUACUUAGUUAAUCAUAUUCAUACUAUCUUAAAAAGAAAAUAAAAAUAUGAAAAACAGUAAGCCCCAUGUGAGUAUACAAGUGGCAUAAAACCCAUAAGUACAUUCACUGUGGUGGCAUAAGAAUAAAAUAAAUAUUUAUUUUCUACUUUAUAAAAUGAAAAUAUAAAAAUAGGGAGUAAUAAUUAUUGAGUCUCAACAUGAUAAAGGCGAGAUAUUUAUGCUAACACUUAAUCAGUUCCACAAGCUUUGUUGUCUAUUUGAGCUCCACAGGAUUUAAGAAUCAAGAAGACUAGCAGAUGGAGGACAUUUUAAUCGCUGUCAGAAUGCUGCUGACUUUCAAGUACACCUCUGCCACCUGCUAACUACAUCAAGAGAAAUUACGUCAAAAUUCAGCUUGGGGGAGAGCACCCCCAUUUAUCCCGAUAAGUAUUUCUAUCUAUCUAUCUAUCUUUAUACUUAUACUAUAUUAAAAUAUAAAUAUACAUAAACCAGAAAAAACCAAAUAAAGAUUUUAUGCUUAUAUAUAUAUCUUUGCUUAGUUUGCUAAAUAAAUAAAUAAAUAAAGUUUGCUAUGAACCCUCAUGAUAAACUCUCACAUGGAAAUGAUGAAUAGUUGCUCUACCAUGACUAGUUCUUAAAAUUGAAAUCCCUAUCAAGUUUAGGCAUGACUGUUAUGAAGUAAGAUUUGCUCUAAACCUGAACUUGUGGGAAGAGUACUUGAUCUAAAGUCUAAGUCGUUAACGGAUAUGCUAAAAAUAUGAGGCUUGCUUCUAAAAUUGUGAAAUAUUCAAACUAGGUUGAUUUAUGUGAAAGAAGGAUUAAGAAUAUUUUUGUACAAUUUUUGGAGCUAUAGAAUUUGAGAAAUAGAAUUUAUACAAAAAUUUCCAAAUUGAAUUUAUUUGAAAACCUAGAACUAGUUUUAAUUUGUAAUUCAAAUUCUAUUGGGAAUUUGGUCUUGCUUAUUAAAACAAAGUUGUAGGGUUUUUGUUUUAGAACAAUUUUGCUUUUGGGAGCAAGAGGUGAAAAUGAUUUUAAAUUGGUCCAAAUGAAUUUAGAAAAGAAAUUGAGAAAAGAUUUUUAAAAAAAUGGAAAGUGGCAGGCGCUGCCGGGCCAACCCCACUUCCCUUUCGGCCCAGCGAGCGGCCCGGCCUGCUCCCCCUCCCCUCUCUCUCCCGCGCGCGCGGACGCGCCUCGUCCCAACCAGCGUCGGCCACGUGCCGGCCGUACACCGGCAAGGAGCGCGUCGCGGCCGGCCACCUACACCCCUAGUCGGGACGCCGGCUCGGGCUCCCAGGCCAUUCCCUCCCUCCUAUCGCCCGCGCCCCUCUUCCUCCUCCCUCCACUCGCGAGCGCAACCGAAGCCGAGAGCUCCGCCGCAGCGCCAUCGCCGGAGCAGCUCCGCUGCUCACCGCCGGCCACCCCAGUGACCAAACCUCGACACCAAGACCACCGGCGCAUUCGCCAUCGUUAGGGUAAGCUCCUGCGCGCGUUCUACCGAGGUGAGAGUCCGUCGAGCGCCGUGAAUCGCUCGCCGGAGUUACCCCGAGCUCGCCGGAGUACUCCGCCGCGACGGAUCUUGCGUUUCCCUGCUUCUUUUCGCUGGUUCUUGGUUGCGCUAGGUCGGUAGGGUGGUGAGGAAGCUCGGAGAGACGUUUGCGCGCACUCUACCACGCCAGAGCGGCCUGGCCACGGUGAGCAGCGCCGCCGUGCCGCCAUGCAUGCUCGUCGGAGGUGCUCCGGCCAUCCUCCGGUCGAUCCAAGAGUACCGCUAGGUGCGCCUCGCUGCGGGGAGCACGUUGGUGCUCACCCCGUGGCCGGGGACCUCACCGCCGGCGAGAUCUGCUCGUCGGAGGUGUGCUCUCUCUCGGUCUCGCUGACCAGUGGGGUCAGAGGCCCACUGUCAGUCGCAGGGGGACCUCGGUGGGUGUAGAUCCGGAUGUGUGUAGCCUUUUGCGUCGGUUUUCUUAAAUAAAUGUUUUCCAGAAAUUGAUUCAAAACUUGUAAAAUGUAUAUCCUGAGUUUUACAGCUCCAAAUUUGAUGAAAUAAAUUUUGGUGUGCUUUAUAUUUCCAGAUCUACAGUUUGAAGUAAUUGCAUGUCAUGUUUGAGUAUCUUUUCUAUAUGAAUAUAUUUAAUCUAUAUUUUUGAUAAACUUGGAAAAUGCAUAGUAAUUGAAAUAUGGUUCAGAAAAAUGUGAAACUUGAUUUGUUCGCUCUGCAUGUGUGUUAACUCACUGGGAAAAUAUUGCUACACAAUAUUUGGUAUAUAAAUGAAUUUAUGGUAAUUUAAAUGCUUGCAUGACAGUGGUUUAUGAUUUUUAGUAAUUAAUUGGAUCAUGCAAUUAAUCUGGAAAUUUUUGUGGGUGUUUCUGAUGAUAUUAGACAAAUUUAAAAAAUAUGAAAUCUGCUGUUUGACACUUAUAUCAUAGUGGAGUAAUUAUACUUACCUUAUUAAUUAAUCUUGUGAUUUUUGUAGCUCAAAAUAAGUAUCCAAAAAUUAUGAAAAACUUACAGUGGACCUUGUGCUUGGGUGGUAGUCUCCUGUAAUUUUUAUGAAAUUUAUUGAUGAACAGAACUGCAUACAAAUUUUGAUGGGCCUAGAAAUGAAUAAAUAAUUUAUGAUUGUUGUAUAUAGGUUAAAUAGAAUGAGAAUGGGUUUGGUGUAUCUUUGAAGCAACUUGUAGGUUGCUGGUUGCACUUGAAAAAUGAUUGUAGAAGAGAAUGCAAUAGGUGUUAAUUCAAUUACUUACCCUUGGAUGAUGUUGACUACAUUGUAAAGAGCAUGACCAAUUAAAUCGCAUACGCAUCAUGUCAUGACCCUUUGGUACCUUCUCAUACAAGCAUCCACUCGGGCAUCUCGCACUCCACUCAUGAGCACACAUGCAUCAUACAGGCUCGCAGGAGAACAAGGUGGGACCCGAGGAGCCAGAGGAGAUUCAGGAGCAGGAACCUCCGGAAGCACAGGAGUCCGGAGAGGAACUACAGGAGUGUCCAGAUCACCGACCCAGCACGUUUGAGAAAGGCAAGCCCCGGAGCAUUCUAAGUCUCCCUAUUCUCGCUAACUUACAGGAUAUACUAUGCUUGUUCUACUAUAUUGCAUUUAAGUGAUAGGAGUUGGUUGAUACCGUUGAUGCAUGGGUACUCCUUGAUAUCACCCCUCGUUAUCUACCUUGUCCUAUGUAGAUAGGUGCGGAGUCUAUGCUUAGCUUGCUUAGUCCGGUAGAAGUCGGGUGAUUUCCCGUCACCUGCGAGAUAUAGGUGGAUACCUGCUUGAUUAAGCAGUGAUUGCUUUGGGAAAAGAAUAACCAAGUGUGGAAUGGAAUUGGAGACCGGGCAGGGUCUUAUGGUGGGUUGACCAUAGUGCCCCUGCCUGUGUCGAUUAAGGACCGAUCGUUGACGGCCCUCUUGUCAUGUUGAACGCAUGUCCCACACUUAGCUGGAAGGAUAAGUCGUUCCGACCGCGAAGCCUGAACACUAUCCGGGCCGGGAAUCGAGCCGCCAUGUGCUGUAUUGGUGAUGGUUGAGGAGAACGAUGAGGGCGCGAUGCGCAACCUUGGUAUACCUUGGAUACCUCGGUCGCCGGAACGGUCCUCGGGUACUGGCGGUGCCUGCCGAACCCGCGAAUUGGUCCUGGAUAGUGUAAUACGGUGAUCUGUAGCUCACUUGAUCAGUGAGUGUGGUUUGUGUGGGGAAUACCUCGCCAGCUGGUUAGAAAUCGAUUCAAAUCGCCAUCGCUCCUGGAUAGUGAGCACUUGACAUGAGCCCUGUCCUCUUAGUAAGGACUAUGGAACACUUGGGUUAUAAUGAUGAAUGGUUUUAGGAAAUGCUAUGAUGAGGUACCAUCAUAUCACUACACUUGCUUGUGAUAGCGCAGGUGCAAACCUAGAUAUUAGGUAAUGAUACUUUCAACUUGAGCAAAUUAAAAGAAGAAAGAUGUAUGUAGUUUAUGAUAAUUGAAUCCUGUGGUUUUGCAAAAUGAUCGUCAGCUACCCCACCAUAUAGCCUUCAUGAUCCUUGAAGAGUCUUUAUUUUAAUUUAUGAUGGGUAAGUCUAGCUGAGUACCUUCUCGUACUCAGGGUUCUACUCCCAUGUUGUUUUGCAGAUGGUCAAAUGUACUAUGGUUAUUGCAUCCUCUGUCUGUACCCAGCCAUGGGUGAUGACUAGACCAAGGGCGAUGGUCACUCCGUCUUCUCUUUUGCUUUUGUGGGAAUGACCGAACUAUGGCACUGUAUCAGACUAAAUGUGUGUGUUGUAUUUUCAAACUAUGAAGCUUCCGCUACUUGAAGAACUUGGUUUGUAAUAAUUUUAAGAACUCCGAUGUGUUUUAUGAAUGUUGUAAUCUGGAUGUAUUUGUGGAUGGCGACCGCUAAACUUAUUACGAUCUUGGCUGUUGUGCGAUGUGUGGUUUGAAAUCCUUCGAGAUUUCACGGACUACCGGGAUUAUAUGGGCUUAAGCCUGAUGGGUUGACUAUGCAAAUAGUCUCCGUUAGGCUUAAUCUCUUAUAAUUUGGUCGGUUCUGUUACAACCCUAACCCAGAGAUGAGAUCUUGUUUGAACGCAUGUAUAUCUUUAAGGCAUGAAACCACUGCAGAAACUCUUAAGUUCAUCUUUGCUCAGGGACGAGCAAAGGUUAAACUUGGGGAAGCUUGUUGACGGUCCUUAAUGCUUACAUUUAACCAUCAACUAAUCAUAGAAAAGGAUCCAAAUGCAACCAACACCUAGACUUAGGGUUUCAUCUGACAGAAUUCCACGAGUUUUGUGUUUGUCUAUUUCUGCAGGGGAUUAUCAGGAAAUAUGAAAGAAAAGCCCACACGUCGGGUUUACAUAGAGAUAUUAACGUGCCGCGCAAUUUUCUACCAUCUAGAAGACUCCAGAAGCCACGGGAACGAACGGGAGGCCGAUCGGGCCCGGGGGCAGGGCGCCCGCCCAAGUCCCUUGGGUGCCCGCCCAGCUACAGUAACCAAUCAGCUUCAACUUCGCGGAUCGUGCUCCACCGACCUAAGAGAUCAAGGAAAACCAUGCGAUUAAUAUCGGUUUGAUCCAACGGCCCAUAUUCACUUGAAGGGACUAUAAAACCAGACCCCCUGGCCCCUGGAGAUCAUACCUCUUCUAUAGAAUCAAAGCUAGGGUUUCAAUUCUUCAUCCAAGUAGAGAGGAUUCCUCUAGUUCUUCUAGUACUACCUCUAGUUCAUCUAGAUCUAGUUCUAGUUCAUCUAGUUCUAGUUCUAGUUCCUCUAGUUCUAGUUCUAGUUAGUUCUAGUUGUAAUCUAGAAAAUAGGGAGAGAGAAGAGGAGAGCGGAGGAGGAGCCGGGUCUGUCGGAUCUUCCUCAACAUUAUACUUUUGUAGCAUUUGGUUCGUUCUUCAUCGUUCUCCAGGUUCUUCAAUUCAUAAUUCCUGAAUUCUUUAAUUACUUUUAUUUACAUUCAAGUUAUUUAUUGGAUUCCCGCUUGCAUCAAGUGCUCUAGUUUUUAUAACGCUAGAGUAGUAAUUAAUAGAUUAGACGUGGUGUUUAGUCUUGCAAUUACCUGGAAUUGCACCCAAUCCUACGGAUUGUUGUGGUAGCCUUAGGGUAGUGACAGCCCUAACGGUCGACGUAUUCCACCUCGUUCGGAUCGGUGUUUGUAGGACCAUAGUCAGACCUUCCUAGCCCCCUUCUCAUCUCUUUCUGUGGUUAGUGCUCUGAUGUCCCGAUAUAGAUAAUCUUGAAGUAAUUCUUGAUUCUUAGAUCAACUAGAGAACUCCGAGGAAACUUCCUCUCUUCCCACCAAAAAUAAUUAUAUAGUUAUCCUUGGGCGAUCUUGGAUCUUAAUUAGUACACUCACGUUCUCUGUGGAAAAUCGAUACUCUGGAAUACUCCCGGGUGAAAGCUACAUCGGUAUCCGUGCGCUUGCGGAUUUUUCUGUUUGCGUUUAAAAUACCCAACAAGCUUUCUGGCGCCGUUGCCGGGGAGAAAGACGGUUUGCUGAGAUAACUUUGAGUCUUGCUAUUAUCUUGUAUUAUACUUUUAUAUUUUUAUUCUUUUAUCUUUAUAUCUUUAUCUUUAUGGAUAACUCAAAUUCCAUACCUAUUAUUGAAUUCUUUGCACCUUCGGAGACCAGCCAUAGACCAUGGGAGUCAACACGUCUUGCCCCUAAUUAUGAUCUGUGUCCGGAGUUGAUUGCAAUAGGUCAAAACCAACCCUUUUCUAUAGCUGAGGUCCUAUCUUUUAAUCAAGAAGAUAAUGCACUUUUAGCUACACCUAGGGAAUCUAUUAAUCUUUCUAUAAAUUCUGGUUUAGACCUAGCCCUACAAGAGGGCAUUAAAACAAGAGGGCAUUACAAGAGGAUCGAGAAGAGCAACAUCAAUGGCUAGAGGGCAUUAAAAAUCCAUGUGCUAUCACCAUUGAAUGGAUAGAUAAAACAAACUUGAGAGACAAUCCUAGAGGAAUUUUAAGCAUUCAUGAAGAAUCAUCCUUGGAGUUUGAGAAUGAGAGAAACAACAGUGAGCAUGGAAGCUAUUUCAUAAAUACCUCACCCAGUCCUUGCUCAUAUAAAACAUCUCUCCAAUCAAUUUGUCUCUCCAUCCUUACCACAUUUGAGAUCUCCAACCCCCUCUUCCUUUCUAUUUAUAAAAACUUUAAAAGGGUGGUUGUCGAUGCAUAUGUCUAUAAUAAAUAUUGCAGAUCUCGUUGAGUUGAUCUUGAUAUAGGUCAGCGUUGGAGGGGAAACCACUUCGCCGACAUAAAUUAAUGGUUUCCCAAGGACAAGCUUAGCGUCCUUAAACAAGCACGUAUCAGAUCAUAACAUGAACUUUUAAUUAUUUGCAACAUUGCCUUGUGUAUUGAGCAUAUAAAGAUAAUUGUAGAAAUAUUCCUUCGGGUAUUCUUGCCACUAACCUUUCUAGGAUUGGAGCAAGAAGAUCGGAUGAAUGACAAGCACAAGGUAUGUCCAACCAAUCAUCAUGCAACAUUGAAUUAAAUUCAUCCAAACUUGAAUUUUGUAAAAUUCAAGCUUGGGGAGUACUUUACAUAAAAACAUCUUUUGCCAUGUUGCUACGUUGGUUGUCCUUACCUUCGAGACAUGCUCAAUUUGUUAAAUACUAAUUACACUACUUCAUCUCCACUUAAGUAGAUCUCUAUAAAUGCUCUCAUGCUACCUUUAUUUGCUUUAGUAUAUGUCUAGGUUUGGAAUAGUUUCAUUUAUCUCUUAAUUAAGCAUGGUGCUUAGUUUAGGAAUGAUGAUCUUACUUUCAAGGGAUUUUAAAUUAAGCAUGGUGCUUAGGUUAAAAUGCCCUUCUAAAUCAAAUUAGACAUGGUGUCUAGGUUGAUUUUUGAGCCGAUAAUAUGCUAUAGUAGAUAUGGGAUAUUUUGUUGGACUAACCCCUGCAGGAAAACUUUCAACCUGGGAAGUCCUGAGAUACAAACUCAUUGGAGAUGAAGAAAGUGACACAUGAAGUUUAACAAUUUGCACAAGAAAGACGUAGCUCAUAAGAGAUGAUUCAUGGAGGGUGCCACAAACACGAUGCACAACCGCUAAGAAAGGAAAGCUUCCACAAAGUGACACUGUACCGUCACUCUUCAAGGUAACACCUUAAGGUACUUGACUAUCGCUUUUAUAAGUUUCUCCUUGGUUCUAGCAUUCAUAAAGAGACAAACAUGUAUGGUCUAUAACUCAUUAAACAACUCAAUUGAUUUAGCAUGUUUAGUCCUUUAAUCUUUGUUCUUAGUACUACCUUCGUGAUCCCACACUCCUAAUCAUAUAAGCUAAAAUAUUGCACAUUUAAAUCUUUGGAAGAUAUAAACAAAACAUAAAAAUAGAUAGAUUAUCUUUCCAUUAGGUUGAGCCAUCUGAUCUAACAAAUGUUUUAAAUGCUACACUCAUGAUCCAUCAACUUUGUCUUGCUCACUAUGCUUAAGGUUAGAGAAGAACAAAUACACUUUUGGUUCUGUUGGUGUUUUCCACCAACAGGGCCCAUGCACUUGAUCUCUGCCUUGUCUCUAUGAAUAGGUACACUUCAAACAAAACAUGGAGGAGUUUUACAACUCCCAGAUUCCACCAAGUGAAGGACCUGGAUCUACGAGCACAAACACAAUGGAAAUCAGACACUUAGUUUCCCAAAGGAAAUAUUGAAGAACCUCUGUGUCCGAGUUGGUACCUUGUACACUCCAGCAAACUUCAUGGUGAUAGAGACUGGUACUGAGGAGAGGGCACCCAUCAUCUUAGGGAGGCCAUUCCUAAACACCAGAGGUGUCAUCUACGCUAAUGCUGCCAAGAUCAGUUUCUACAUCAAGGGGAAGAAGGAGACUUUUCUUCAAGAACAAGACUACACAAACUUCAGAGCAAUCCCGACAUGAACCAAGGAAGAGGACCAACAGGAGGAACAGGAACAAGCAAAUGUGGACCGAGUCAACAAAGAUGGUCACUGCAACUCAAGGAGAUCAAGAUCGUCGACUCAAGUCACCUUUCUUGAUCAAGAAGGACGACCCUGGUGUUCCAAGCAUCGAGUGCACAAUCAACGGACACUCUUUUUAGAAGACACUCUACGACACCGGAUCUGACGUCAACAUAAUGGCCGUAGUCACUUAUCAGCUCCUGCAUGGAACCAUGCCCCUACAACGAAUAUAUAUUCAGCUCCAGAUGAUUUUCAGAUCAUUGACAUGGGAGAAGACGAGUACCAUCCACCCACCAUCCUAGGAAGACCGUUCCUCAACACUAUCAAAGCAAUCAUCUACAUUGGAAGCGGAGAAGUCCACAUAUACUUCCCCUCUGAGAAGGUACGCAGCUAUUUUACUGACCUUAACUAUAUAGUUGAAGACUCUAAGCAGGUCAGGACAAGAAGAAGACAACGCAACCGCAACCAGAGAAGGCGAAUCAUCAAGGACGGAUGGAUAGACUACGAAGGAGAAGUGAUAAGUUCUGAAGACAUACAGCUUGAACAGAACUGUCCUGUGGAGACCGUAGCACCGAGUCAGGUGUGGAGAGAGAAGAUAGUUGCACACGAAGAGGAGGCGCCGCCGGAACCACCGACUACGCCACCUAGCGAAUCCCAGGACGAUAGAAAACAGAGAGUCCCGUUCGGAGGACUUAAAAACACCAAACGCAUUGCCAAGAGAUAAACUUGGUAGUUAUCCUUUUCCUUUCAAUUAUUUAAAAUAGUUUGCUUAGUUAAUCAGGUUCAUGCUAUCUUAAAAAGAAAAUAAAAAUGUUAAAAAAACAGUAAGCCCCAUGUGAGUAUACGAGUGGCAUAAAACCCAUAAGUACAUUCACUGUGGUGGCGUAAAAAUAAAAUAAAUAUAUUCUUGUCCUAUAAAUAUAAAAAUAUAAAAAUAAAUUUACGAUCCUACUAAAGAGAGUAACAUUUAUUGAGGAGGCUCAACAUGAUAAAGGCUAGAUAUUUAUGCUAACACUUAACCAGUUCCACAAAGCUUUGUUGUCUAUUUGAGCUCCACAGAAUUUAAGGAUCAAAGAAGACUAGCAGACGAAGGACAUCCUAAUCGCUGUCAGGGUGCUGCCGACUUUCAAAAACACCUCCACCACCUGCUAGCUACAUCAGAAGAAAUUACGUCAAAAUCCAGCUUGGGGGAGAGCACCCCAUUUAUCCAGCUAAGUGUUUCUACUCGCGUUUAUACUUUGCUCAAAUAAUAAAAAGAUGCAUAAUCAUGAAAACCCAAAUAAAGAUUUUGUGCUUAUAUAUAUAUAUAUAUAUUUGCAUAGUUUGCUAAAUAAAUAAAUAAAUAAAGUUUGCUAUGAACCCUCAUGAUAAACUCUCACAUGGAAAUGAUGAAUAGUUGCUCUGCCAUGACUAGUUCUUAAAAUUGAAAUCUCUCUCAAGUUUAGGCAUAACUGUUAUAAUUUAAAACUGCUCUAAACCUGAACUUGUGGGAAGAGUACUUGAUCUAAAGUCUAAGUCGUUAACGGAUAUGAUAUGGGAAGGUUGAGCUGCUGUUUAUCUGUUCCUAGAGAUGCUAGAAUUCUGGAGAAUUUUAUCUUUGAAAAAUCUUUAAAAUAUCACAUGACGAGUUCCUGUAUGACGAGAGUUUAAAAUCCUACCACAGCCAUAUAUACAUGCUUGCUAGACUUUGAGCCACAUAUUUACUUUUUACUCCUUAUGAGCAUUGAGUGCGGUCAAGCUGUGUACACCCUUAGGAGCUUGUCAUGUGGUUAAAAUCAAGAUUCACUUGCACGUUCACUCAUACAUGCUACUUCUACUCCGGAAGUACCAUCCAUAUAUAUCCACUCAUUUCCAUCUCCACAUUCACCCGAAAUUAUUCUACUCCUAAUCCGGGAGAGAAUAGCCAAAAACAUUUUCCAAUCCCUGUUAUUCCCUGUGAAAUAAAUGCUCCAGUUAUUUUGGUUACUACCACUUGCUACAUUAUUUGAGGAGAUGAGUGCUCUAAAAAAAAGAAGAAAGAAAAAAAAAGAGAGAAGAGAAAAAAAUACGAGGAAAUAAAAAGGGGCAAGUGCCCGGAACCUCGAAGAAAAAGAAAAAAGUGAGACGAGAGGUAAAAAUGGACAAGUGUCCGACAGUAGAAUUAGGGGUACAAGAUACCCACCUGAGAGGAAAGAAAAAGAAAAUAUAGAGCAUCUCAUUCUCCCCAAAAAGCUUCAAAAUGCAAGAAAGGUAUGUAUCCCCUCAAAAGAGCAAAUGUAGAAUUAGACUUUCACCAUUAUUAUCACCAUCAGCACCAUACACCAUUCAUUCGCCACACAUGCACAUCUUGAUUUGACUUAUUGACUUGUUUCUCUAGAUCCAUGGUUUGACUAUGCAAUAAAUGUCUUGUAAGUAUGUAUUAGCUGUCUCCCACCUAUGAGCUCCAGAUAUCAAACCUUAUUAGAGUAGGGUGAGAGAGAAGGUAAUAUCACUAUGCAUUAUACCAAAAAUACCACAUACUUUGAGAGAAGGCAUAUACCAUUACUGCCUUGGUAAGGAUCCAGAAAUACCACAAAAGAGAGAUUUGAGAUAGUCAUAUAAGGAAUCUCUGAGUUUUAUUUGAAAAUCUGCAAAAACUCUAGAGCUAUAGCUGAUCAAAGAACAAGAGACAUGGCGCUUGACUUGACCGUUCUAUCUUUUAACUGCUCAAGACACAAGUGACGGUUACAAGCCCCAUGGUGAAAGGUAAAAUGAGUAAGUUUUAAGUCUUAACAGUUUAUUCUAACUCAGAGAUGAGACCUUGCUUGAAUGCGUGUGUACUUUUAAGGCAUGAAACCACUGCAGAAACUCUUGAGUUCAUCCUUGCUCAGGGACGAGCAAGAGGUAAGCUUGGGGGAGUUUGUUGACGGUCCUUAAGUAUCAAAUUUAAUUAUCAAAUAAACAAAGAAAAGGAUCCAAAUGAAAUCAACAUCUAGACUUAGGGUUUUAUCUGACAGAAUUCCACGAGUUUUGGUGUUUGUCUAUUUCUGCAGGGGGUUAUCAGGAAAUAAGGAAGAAAUGCCCACAUGUCAGGAUUACAUAGAGAUAUCAACGCACCGCGCAAUUUUCUACCAUCUAGAAGACUCCAGAAGCCACCAGACCGAAGCGGAGGCGAAACGGGGCCAGGACCUUGGCGCCCGCCCAGUUUCCUUGGGCGCCCGCCCACCUGCCGAGCCCAAUCAGGACUCUUUCUCUCGGGAGAUCUCCACCGACCUAUUGGAUCCAGAAUAACAUAGUACCACAUCGCCUACCGACCCAAAAACGCAUAGAAGGGGAGGACUAUAUAAGGAGACCCCCCUGGCCCCUGGAGAAGACAAGAAAUUAUCAUAGAGAUUGAGGGGUGCCCUCAAAGGAAAACCUCUUCUCUAAAUAAUAUUUCUUUUUAGGCUUAGCAACCAAUGUAAAGUAGAAAUAGAUCUUAUAGUUUCUACUAGAUUGAGAGAGAUAGAGUGGAGGUGUGGAUCGGAGGAAGGCCGGCCUGUCGGUGUCUACUCCGAGUUGUACCUACGGGAUCAAGUCUCCUAACCCGAGGCUUGCUUCUAAGAUUCUUCAGUAAUUCGACUUCUAAUUCUUGUAAGUUCUUGUUUUAUUGUUCUUUGGUUUAUGAGUUUACUUUAAUCCUCUUCCGGUUGAGUAUUAGAGUAAUCACUUGCUAGCGUAAACGUGGUGUUUAGGCUAGGGUACUCAUAGAUAUCCCCUGACUAGCUGGACCAUGGUAGUAGCGAGGAACGUGACAUUUCCGAGUUACCUUUGUAUCCCAUAUCUUGUUAGCAGGACGGGUAGGGUUAUAGGUGCGGGUCGAACAUCCUUUGUGUUGUCAAGAUUCCGUGAGCCUCCCCAAUAGAACUGUAGAUCAUCCUUACCAAGGUUAGAACGAGACUACGGUUGCAGUCUUCUCUAUACAUCGCUCACAUCGAGAAACAUUCUUUGUAGCCUAAAGGGGUAGUAGCAAUAGAUUUGGUUAGUCAGAUGCACCUUUUCUCCCAGUGGUAAAAAUAUAAAUACGAUAACUCUGGAUAACCUCCCGGGUGAAAUGCUCACCGAUAUCCACGCGCUUGCGGAUCAUUUCCUGAUUGCGUUACCAAAUAUCAACAAGCAUUUCUGCCAGAAAGCUUGUUGGGUAUUUUAAAAGCAAACAGAAAAAUCCGCAAGCGCACGGAUACCGAUGUAGCUUUCACCCGGGAGUAUUCCAGAGUAUCGAUUUUUCACAGAGAACGUGAGUGUACUAAUUAAGAUCCAAGAUCGCCCAAGGAUAACUAUAUAAUUAUUUUUAGUGGGAAGAGAGGAAGUUUCCUGAGAGUUCUCUAGUUGAUCUAAGAAUCAAGAAUUACUUCAAGAUUAUCUAUAUCGGGACAUCAGAGCACUAACCACAGAAAGAGAUGAGAAGGGGGCUAGGAAGGUCUGACUACGGUCCUACAAACGCCGAUCCGAACGAGAUGGAAUACGUCGACCGUUAGGGCUGUCACUACCCUAAGGCUACCACAACAAUCCGCAGGAUUGGGUGCAAUUCCAGGUAAUUGCAAGACUAAACACCACGUCUAAUCUAUUAAUUACUACUCUAGCGUUAUAAAGACUAGAGCACUUGAUGCAAGCGGGAAUCCAAUAAAUAACUUGAAUGUAAAUAAAAGUAAUUAAAGAACUCAGGAAUUAUGAAUUGAAGAACCUGGAGAACGAUGAAGAACGAACCAGAUGCUGCAAAAGUAUAAUGUUGUGGAAGAUCCGACAGACCCGGCUCCUCCUUCGCUCUCCUCUUCUCUCUCCCUAUUUUCUAGAUUACAACUAGAACUAACUAGAACUAGAACUAGAGGAACUAGAACUAGAACUAGAUGAACUAGAACUAGAUCUAGAUGAACUAGAGGUAGAACUAGAAGAACUAGAGGGAUCCUCUCUACUUGGAUGAAGAAUUGAAACCCUAACUUUGAUUCUGUAGAAGAGGUAUGAUCUCCAGGGGCCAGGGGGGUCUGGUUUUAUAGUCCCUUCAAGUGAAUCUGGGCCGUGGGAUCAAACCGACAUUAAUCGCACGGUUUUCCUUGAUCCUUUAGGUCGGUGGAGCGUGGUCCACGAAACGGGUCCGUUUUGGACACUAUAGCUGGGCGGGCGCCCUCAGGACUAGGGCGGGCGCCCUGUGCGUGAGCCCUCUCGGCCUCUGCUUCGGUCCCGUGGCUUCUGGAGUCCUCUAGAUGGUAGAAAAUUGCACGGCACGUUAAUAUCUCUAUGUAAACCCGACGUGUGGGGCUUUCUUCCGUAUUUCCUGAUAACCCCCUGCAGAAAUAGACAAACACCAAAACUCAUGGAAUUCUGUCAGAUAAAACCCUAAGUCUAGGUGUUGGUUCCAUUUAGAUCAUUUUCCAUGAUUAGUUGAUGGUUAAAUGUGAGCAUUAAGGACCGUCAACAAGCUCCCCCAAGCUUAACCUUUGCUCGUCCCUGAGCAAAGAUGGACUCAAGAGUUUCUGUAGUGGUUUCAUGCCUUAAAAAUACACAUGCAUUUAAACAAGAUCUCAUCUCUGGGUUAGGGUAACUGUUAAGAUUUAAACUUACUCAUUUUACCUUCCACCAUGGGGCUUGCAACCGUCACCUAUGUCUUGAGCAGUUAAAAGAUAGAACAGUCUAGUCAAGCGCCAUGUCUCUUGUUCUUCGAUUAACUAUAGCUCUGGAGUUUUUGCAGAUUUUCAAAUAAAACUCAGAGAUUCCUUGUAUGACUCUCUCUAGUCUCUCUUGUGGUAUUUCUGGAUCCUUACAAAGGCAGUAUUGGUAUAUGUCUUCUCUCAAAGUAUGUGGUAUUUGUGGUAUAAGGCAUAGUGGCAUUGCCUUCUCUCUCACCCUACUCUUAUAAGGUUUUGAUAUCUGGAGCUCAUAGGUGGGAGACAGCUAAUACAUACUUACAAGACAUUUAUUGCAUAGUCAAACCAUGGAUCCAGAAGAACAAGUCAAUAAGUCAAAUCAAGAUGUGCAUGUGUGGCGAAUGAAUGGUGCAUGGUAAUGAUGGUGAUAACAAUGGUGAAAGUCUAAUUCUACUUGUGCUCUUUUGAGGGGAUACAUACCUUUCUUGCUCUUUUGAAACUUUUUGAGGAGAAUGAGAUGCUCUAUAUAUAUAUAUUUUUUUUUUCUUCUCUUAGGUGGGUAUCUUGUACCCCUAAUUCUACUGUCGGACACUUGUCCAUUUUUACCUCUCGUCUCAUUUUUUCUUUUCUUCGAGGUUCCGGGCACUUGCCCCUUUUUAUUUCCUCGUAUCUUUUUUUUUUCUUCUCUUUUUUUUAUUAUUAGAGCACUCAUCUCCUGAAAUAAUAUAGCAAGUGGCAAUAACCAAGAUAACUUGAGCAUUUAUUUCACAGGGAAAAACAGAAAUGUUUUUGGCUAUUCUCUCCCGGAUUAGGAGUAGAGUAUUUUUGGGUGGUUCUGGAGAUGGAAAUGGAUAUAUGUGGAUGGUACUUCCUGAGUAGAGGCAGCAUGUAUGAGUGAACGUGCAAGUGAAUCUUGAUUUAACCACAUGACAAGCUCCUAAGGGUCUACACAGCUUGACCACACUCAAUGCUCAUAAGUAGUAAAGUAAAUGUGUGGUUCAUAGUCUAGCAAGGAUGUAUAUAUGGCUGAGGGAGGAAUUUAAACUCUCAUUAUACAAGAACUCAUCAUGCAACAUUUUAAAGAUUUUCAAAGAUAAAAUUCUCCAGAAUUCUAGCAUCUCUAGGAACAGAUAAACAGCAGCUCAACCUUCCCAUAUCAUAUCCGUUAACGACUUAGACUUCAGAUCAAGUAGUCUUCCCACAAGUUCAGGUUUAGAGCAAAUAUUAAUUAAUAACAGUCAUUCCUAAACUUGAGAGAGAUUUCAAUUUUGAGAACUAGUCAUGGCAGAGCAACUAUUCAUCAUUUCCAUGUGAGAGCUUAUCAUGAGGGUUCAUAGCAAACUUUAUUUAUUUAUUUAUUUAGCAAACUAAGCAAAGAUAUAUAUAUAAGCACAAAAUCUUUAUUUGGGUUUUUAUGAUUAUGCAUCUUUUUAUUAUUUGAGUAAAGUAUAAACGUGAGUAGAAUACUUAGCUGGAUAAAUGGGAGUGCUCUCACCAAGCUGGAUUUUGAUGUAAUUCCUUCUGAUGUAGCUAGCAGGUGUCAGGGGUGUAUUUGAAUGUCGGCAGCGCUCUGACAGCGAUUAGGAUGUCCUCCGUCUGCUAGUCUUCUUUGAUCCUUGAAUUCUGUGGAGCUCAAAUAGACAACAAAGCUUUGUGGAACUAGUUAAGUGUUAGCAUAAAUAUCUAGCCUUUAUCAUGUUGAGCCUCCUCAAUAAAUGUUACUCUUUUUAGUAGGAUCAUAAAUCUUUUUAUAGGACAGGAAUAUAUUUAUUUUAUUUUUACGCCACCACAGUGAAUGUACUUAUGGGUUUUGUGCCAUG